rnacentral:lncRNA from 1 species
UUUUGUAAUCAAUGACAGACUCAUAGUUCAUAGAUUCAACAACUCAGCAAUUCAAUGACUCAGUCUAACAAGUAACAACAGCAGCAAAUCAGCAACUUAGCAGUUACCAAAUUCUAAAUACAAUCAUUCAUCACUCAUCAACUUAGCAACUGCUGCAACUCAACAACUCACUCAAAUUAACAAGACAUCACUCAUCAUUCAUCAUUCAUCAAUUACACAAUCACCAUUCACCAAUUACCAAUUAUCAAGUUCAAAUUCAAUGAACUAACCUGAAUUCCUGAAGACCGGUGAAGAGUGAAUUGCCGGGACUGGGAUGAGAGCGCUUUGCUGUUGUGCGACGCCGCUUGCCGCCGGGCGUCGCCGCUUGCCGCCGGGCGUCGCCGCUUGCCUCCGUGCGUCGCCGCUUGCCCUUGUGCGUCGUCGACGAGAGAGUGAGACUUUGAGAGAAGAAAGAGAGACUAGAGGGGAUGACCGGACGAGAGAGGAGAGAAUAGAGACAGAGAGGAGAGAGACCGAGAGAUAGAGAGAGAGAGACCGAGAGACAAAUGUCACAGAUGAUGACUGAGAUGAGAGACGAACUGACGAAGAGAGGAGAGACCGAGAGAGCAGAGAGACUGAGAAGAGAGAACAGAGGGAGGCUGUUAGCGACUUAGGGUAGAUUUAGUUUUUUUUUUUUUUUUAAAAAAAAAACGUUUUUUGUCCGCCCAGCCGGCCAAAAACGGUUGGCCGCCUACACUAGCCGAUUUGCUUAAAAUCGGGACGGCAACCCUCCUCCGGGCGCCCAGGCGGCCGCCUAGGUCGUUUUUUAGAACCCUGUAAAGGAGUAAAAAAAAUUGAUGAUUGCGGAUGAAAGACGUAAAGCAUUGUGCGAGUACAAUAAAGAUAAUCCAGGUAGGGCACUCAAAAGCAUUUGCAACAGUGAGUUUUUAAAAAAGUUCAACAUACAAAUGAGUUAAGGGAUGAUAUCAAAUAUGAUCAAGCAAAGUUUGGAGUAUCUCUCAACACCUCUUGAAAAAUACGAUGCUAAGCGACACAAAUGAUAAGAAAAAUUUGAGAUGAGAUUCAAGGUGACCUCAAUUUCACGAAAAAAAAAGUCACAAUUGACUUAUUCUGUAUGAAGUCUUAAUAAAUGAGUAAUAAAUUAUAUGUAUUAAGAAAUUAUUAAUUUAUAUAUUUAUUGUGGUCUAUGUAAAUUUUCGUGUUUGUAUUAUCUUGUAAAUUUAGUGAACAGGCAAAAUUAUUAUUUUCGCAAGGUUACUGAUUAAUCGAGUUUUUUUUUUUUUUAUUUUAUUUUAUUUUAUUUUUUUAAAUAGGACCUGACACACCCGGCUAUGUCUCAGUUAUUAAUCGCGCAAAAUGAAAUAGCCCCGAAGAAGAAUAAAAAGAAGCUGCUGAUUUUAAUCUAAGAACACACCUUUUCAGUUCCCGCUCUCAUUCCAGCCAGAGAGAAUGAAGACGAAGAAGAAGGCUUCAAAGAAGCGAAGGACUCGUCGCUCUAAAAGGUCCAAGCUUUCCCACCUGCCAAGUAAUCCUUUUUGACUCCCUUUGAUUCCCAGAAAAAAAAAAAUUGUCUUUUUUUGGGUUUUACAUUCUUUAUUUGGAAUUCGUCUACUGAACAAUGCACAACUCUUGUAUUUUCAUGUUCCUGAAAUAUUUCUGAACACAAAGUUUCCUUCUUUGAUUUGAACCCAAACCCAUAAAAACCCAUAAAGUUGUUCAUUUUUGUGUUGUGGUGCUUUGUCAGCUCAAACCCAAAAGAGGAGAGUAACUGAAGAAGGGGUGAGCCCUGUUGUUGAGAAGUACUGGUUUCAAAGAUAUGAUCUUUUCUCAAAGUAUGAUGAGGGGAUCCAAAUGGAUGAACAGGGCUGGUACUCUGUCACUCCUGAACAGAUUGCUAUUACACAAGCCCAGAGGUGUCAAAACCCAACUGUCGUUAUUGAUUGCUUCGCCGGCGUCGGAGGCAAUGCCAUUCAGUUUGCUUCACUGUGAGUUAACCCAAUACUGUUUUGGUCAUAUUACUCGAUUGGUUUUGUUUCAAUCAUUCAAUGUAUCACUAGUGAGUGGAAUCUUUUUUCCAAUUUUUGAGUGUCUUUGUUGUGACUGCCAAAAAUUUAAAGAGUUUUGUGUAUGGGAUUGUUUAGCUUAACAGUUGCUCAGCUACUAGUUCUUAGCUUUACGGUUUGAAAUUAAAAAGAAUACAUACAUGCAUGAUGCAUUGAAGCUGGUAGCCGUUUCAGCUUGCCAAUUUUUAUGCUCACCUAAGUUAGGAUUUUGCUGCCUGAUCACUAUAUAUGCUACGGGUUUUUUAUUUUUUAUUUUUAGAAAUUAGGUAGAGUGGACAAUAAACUCGGAUGGAGUGAUGAGGGACCUAAUCUGCUCUUGACAUAUGUGUAGGUCAUCUGCGGUAUAUGAUAGCUAAAGUUACUUUUUCUUUUAUAAAAGUUCUGUAUUUUGAGGUUGCCUUAAUGGGUGGAAAUGAGGAGGCGAACCUUUGGUAUAUCCAAGGGUCAUGCAUGCAUUGCUGGAGAUACUUUUGAAUUAUAACUGACCUUAUGGUUUAUGUAGGAGGCUAGGAGAGCUUAGUCUCUUUUCUCUCUUCUCUCUUCUCUCUCAGGUGUUGUCAUGUUGUUGCUAUUGAAAUUGAUCCUCUUAAAGUUGAUAUGGCCAUUAACAAUGCAAGAAUAUAUGGAGUGGAAGAUUAUAUUGAUUUCAUUGUUGGAGACUUCUUCCAACUUGCACCAUCAUUGAAGGUACUGCUUUCCUAUCUGUACUAAUUUCUGAGAAUCAUAGAAAGCCUCUCAGGGUUUAUCAAGGUUAAACUUCCCUUCUAAUUUGUUACUCUACUGGUGGUCUCAAAAGGAUCAUGUAUUCAUGUUACUUGAUCAACUGAAACUCCAUUAAUUCAAGUAGUUAAUUCAAUUAUUUGUCCUGUAGUGGUUCCUUCUGACUACCUAGUAAAGCUUAUGUCUGAAAAAUAUUUUGCAACAAUCAGAUAAGGGAUCUUAUUAAUAUUAUCCUUAAGUGAUCCAGAAAUAUGUUGCUAUUCCUCCUUUUGUUCAUGUAAUCUACAAAUUCAAUACACAUUUGUCCCCCUUCCCUGAACAGAGGGGUAAAAUUGAAUACAUUCAGUUUUCAGAUUUAGGAUAACAGUUCAGACUGUUUGGGGCGCUUUCUAUGCAUAAUCCAUCUAAUCUCAUAAUUCAGUUAGGACAUUUUUGUUGGAUUUGAAUUUUUUGUUAUUAAGGAACUUGUGUUCCACAAUUAUUCAAAGUUUGUGGCAUAGUUUUUGCUCUUUUGGAUGGCCUCCUGUUUAGCUUACAUACUGCAGAAAGUCGAGAAAGAAAUAAAACCUUUGUUUGGCUUUUUAUUCUACUCAUAAAUGAUUACUUUGUAGAAACCUGUGUUUGUGUGUUUGUCUGCGGGAGGGAGGGCCUUUUCAGUAUGUUUUGAUGUUGUGCGUUUUGGUAAGCGGAGAUACUUUUUUGAUUCCUUGAGUUGGUUAACUGUACUGUGCUGCACCUUUUCAAGAACUCUUAAAGAUUUCUUGGGAUCUUUGUAUACUGAUAUUAUUAUAUGACAUAACACAGUUCAAUAGAUGAUGAAGUUCAUCAUCAUCAUGGGCUACAAAAAUAUAUGAAUGAACCUAUCAAAAUUUCAAGCAGAAAGAUCCCUGUUGUACUUGGAUGGCGUCCUUUUAUGGCUACUGCUAAUACAAUCAUUGAUGUUAAAAAAGGGAUUUUAACUAUGGCGGUUGGUGAUAUGACGGUAGAGUUCAAUGUGUUCAAAAGCAGUCAACCCAUGAAUAAAUACAUAUAAAUCUAUUACAUGUCACACAAGUUUCAUCUUCCAUUUAGAAUUUUUCAGAAGAUAAUGGGACUCAACACACAUUUUUGUCUAAAUUUUAUAGGGGGACAUAGUGUUUCUUUCACCACCUUGGGGAGGCCCAUCAUACAGAAGAGUGAAGAAAUUUACACUCGACUUACUCGAGCCAAAAGAUGGGUUAGUAAUGCACUUCUUCUUCUUAGCAUAUUGUGGAGCUUAUAUUACAAUAAUGCAUGCUAUUGUAAAGGUUUAGGCAUAUCUGUCUAAAUUCUGCAUGCACCUGAUUGAAAGCAGUUGGUGGGAACUUGAUUUAUUACCAUUAAGUUAAAUGGCUUUGAAGUUGAAGGGAUAAGCAUAUCUUGGAAUUUCUAUGUUUGCUGGAGCUAACCUACAGUCCGGCAGUAAUAUUUGGGUGUCACUCACUUUUUUGUUUCCGCUGAAGUCUUUGUUAUAGUGAGGCAAUCUCCUUUGUAAAUGUUGUUGGGAAAGAAUCCUUUUCUUACAAUGUAACUUAUUGAUCUAAUAAACACAAGUGUAUUUCUUGUAAAAGAAUUCUUUCCAUAAUUUGGGUGAUAUAACUCUUGCAACAAGCAUGAUGAUCAAUAAUCCCACCUUUUCAUCCCCACCUCCUCACCAAUUAUCACUAACCUUAUAUAUAAAGUCUCAAAAAUAGUGAUGGCUAGAUACUACACAACCUAAAGUCUUUCUACAACCAUAUUUCGUGCAAUCUUUGAUUGAUUCUUUUCAGAGCCUGUUCCAAUUGUAAUUUCUAUCCCCACUCCCCCGCCGUUUUGUAAAUCUGUACUCGUGUUGGAAUUUAAUUGUUCCCAUUUCAGGACUUGUAGGUAAGGAAACAACAUUCCAGUAGUCUCCUGCAGCAAAUUUGUGCCAUCUGUGGGUCAGUGCAAGUUUUCAUUGAUAUUUAUAGCAGUGACAGUAGUCUAAGAUGCAUAUUUAGUUUUCAUUUUUUAACCUUCUUUUCGUUUAGUUCAGAAAUAUAAAUCUAAUCUGAAAGAGCUCAUAUAUAUACUUGCUGCUUGCAUGAAAGAAGAAAUAUGAGAAAUAAGUAUAACUAUAUUUCUUUCUUUUUUUCAUCUUGAAAUGAAUGGUGAGGACAAGAUAAAAUUAAUUGGGUGUGAAUCUUUGGAAGGUGCUACUACUGGUGUUCCAUGUUCUAGGGGAAGUCUCUUAUUUUCUCUCCAUCUUUAAGAAACGUGAAGACAUGAAGUUAUAUCUUCUUUUUGUUUUUCUUUUCCAAAUAUUUAUUGUACUCUUCAUGCACAGGUAUGACUUAUUUCAAGCUGCUCAAGCAAUUACACCCAACAUCAUUAUGUUCUUACCUCGAAAUGUAGACUUACUCCAAGUCGAAGAACUUUGUUGGUUGUCUUCUCCUCCUCUGGAAUUUGAGGUAUGGCUCUACAUACAAUUUUUCCGUAAUGAAUAGUGACCGUCCAUAGUAUCAUCUUUUAAAUGUAUUUCUGCAGUUUGCGGUUGAGCAGUCUGCCUUAUAAACAUAACUAUGAACUUCACAGUAAAUAACGAAUGUGCAGAUUGAAGAAAAUUAUGUGCAUGGCAAAUUAAAGGGUGUAACAGUCUACUUUGGUGGUGCAGCAGCGGGUCAAUAUGGGUAACCAUAAUCUUUCUCAGUUAUGAGUAGUAUAUGUCUUGAUGUUUUCAGUUAUCAGAAUUAUUUGUACUAUAUACAUAUACUUAUUUAACUUGGGCGAGCGAAAGGAUGUCUUGUUUAAACCAAGAUUUUGAGACAGUUCAGUUGGUGAUGAUCAACUUCCUGAACUUGCAAUUGUAGUAUUAAUAUUAGUCUGCCCUACUUAAAUCAUUAUAACUGACUCAUUGUGUCCCCAAGAUCAAAGGUAGAAGUUAUAUGAUAGGCUUAAAACAACAAAAAUCUCAAAUGGUACUGCAUGUCAAUAGAAACGUGGUUCACAUUCUGUGAUUUGACUAAUUACAGAACUCAAAAUUAUCAUGAGCUAUGAGUAGCUUGGCCUUCCCGAUUUUUUGGUAAUUGUUUUUUUUAUUUUGUAUUUUACUUUUUUAUUUACUUGUAAAAUUCAUCUGUGAUCAAGAGUAGAGAAAAGAAAAAUGUUGGUAGGAGUCAGUUUUUUAUGGAGCGGCCGUUUUACAUGAGUCAACCGGUCCCUGAAAAUAAACUCUUUUACUCAAAAGUAUAAACUUAAAAGUGUUUGUAGUGAAUUGUGAAAUUGACACAUGUUCAGAUUUUUUUAUAUAUUUUUAUAAGAAAAGAAGGUCUAAAUUAAAAGUUUAGGGGGUGAAUGACCGAAUGUCAACCAGCUUAUUGUAAUCAUAAUUUGCAGACAGACUGAUCUAGCAGCGCAGAUAUGAGUUUUAGAUAUACUCUUUCCUUCAGGAAUGUAACUAAGCUACCUAUUCCCUUUUGGUUUCAAUUCCUAUUCCCCAUCAAAAUAUUCUUAUCAAAAAUUUAGUACAAGUAUGAGUAAAAAUACAAUUCCUAAUCCCCAUCAAGAUAAACUUGUCAGAAAUUGAGGAUAAGUACAAGUAUUCUGUUUUCCUAAAUCCAUUUAGUACUGUCUCGAUUUGGUAAUGCUGUAUAUCUAUAUAACAACCCUCCCCUAUGCCUUCUUCCCCUCGUUAUUCUCUGAACUAAUUAUCUUACCAUCGGAAAAUCAUCGAAAAAAUUGUAGAUUUCGAACAAGAUGCAAGCAGCUAUCGAAGAUAUGCAAUAUCUGCAGUUUCCAUUACCGCCUGUGCCGUUCAUGAAUCCUUAUUUGGGUACAAUGCAGUACUGCUACUACCCAGUUAUUCCCUUCCCCAUGCAUGAUCCUGACCCUGUUCCUGCACCUGAUGUUAUUUAUCAGGUUUGGAAGAGCAAUUUAACGCACGAGUUCAAACGAAUUUGGAAUCUAAUUAGCCAAGGUGGCCGCUUGUUCGCUUCUAUAGACACAGAAUACCCUGGCACACUUUAUAAAUCCGACAAAGGUCGUCUCGAUGACCCUGAUUACAUGUAUGACAUGAUGAGGAAGAAUGUGAAUGAGACCAACAUAAUCCAGUUAGGUCUCACACUCGCAGACCUUCACGGAAACAGAUACACCUGGGAGUUCAAUUUCAGCGACUUUGAUAUUGUCCGUGAUCGUCAAGACAAGGACUCAGUCGACUUUCUUAUGCGUCAAGGAAUCGAUUUCCGCAAACACAAGAAGGAUGGCAUUCCUUCGCAUAAAUUUGCAAGAAAGUGUUUGGAAGCUGGGCUGUUGGGAAACAAAUUAGUAGUAUGGGUGGGUUUCCAGAUCUUAUAUGAUUUGGGAUACUUCACCAAGAUCCUCACAGGGCAAAACUUGCCAGACAAGUUUGAUACGUACAUGGAGUUUGAAAGGGACUACUUUGGGGAUAGGGUGUAUGAUGUCAAGGACAUGAUCAGGGAGUACAACAAGAGUGACAGCAGCAGGGACUCAAAUCCGAAAUUACAUGGAGGUUUGGACAAAGUGGCGGAGACGCUGGGGAUUCCUCGUGUGGCUGGGAAGAGUCACCAGGCCGGCUCUGAUAGUCUCUUGACAUAUCUAACCUUUCUCAAGCUCAACCACAUAUGUAUGUAUAACAGUAUAACAAGUUAGUGUAGGAGGCUAGGAGCUUACCCAAGACUUCAAGGCAGUUUUAGUUGUUCAUCGUGUUCUUUUUUCUUCCUGUAUCUGACUAUAUAUAGCUAGCUAGCUAGCUUUUAUUCUUUUAUUUUUGGUUUUCUUUUCAUCUUGUUCAAUUAUAGUGUCAACGUUUACGAGUUGAGUUUUUUUAGUUGGUCUCUAAUUAGCUUGCUUGUUAAAUUAUGAAUGAACCAAAUUUGCUCAUUUUUGGUCAGCUCCCAUUCAAAUUCGACAAUGUGAAAAAUGUCAUUUUGUCGUACAGUUGCCUUUGACCAAUAUGCGCAAUAAGGUUUUCACAAUAAGCUCUAAUGCUAAGAACAAAUUAGAGCUUUCAAAAUUGCAAUCUUCCAUUCACCAAUUGUCAAACGAUUUAAUAAAUAACACAAAUAUAGAUGCAUAUGCUCUUCUCCAGAAUGAGAACGUGAGAGAAUGAAGUGAACUGAAGAUAAAUAAACGUAGGCCAAGUGUCGAACUUCUAAUUCUAUGUGGACCCUGGAUCUUUGCAUCAGCCUCUUCUUUUUCUAUAUGAAAGGACGUCUUUUUGAGCUGCAAUAAAAAAUUAAAAUAAAAAGAGAGCUUCUGUUCAUAAGUUCAAAAAUGCUACUUGGACCUCUCUGCUUAAUGGAUCUCUAAUUUACUUUUAUAAAAAACUAAAACGCUAUCUACAACUCCUUAGUUUUCCUAAAAUGCUCAUUGUUCAAUAAAAUCAAGGCUUUUUAGCCAAUUUGUUACCUUAGUUUUUACUAUGAUGUCAAUUUGCUACCCUACCUUUUUUUCAGAUCUGAAUUCUCUGUUUGGAUUUAAGUUGUUAAGAUUUGCUUGGAUGUCUUAUAACCAUUAGAUGGAGUAAAGAUGACAUAAGGAUAACAUGACGGUUUUAGAUUGUAUUCAAUCCAAUGGUUAGAAGUCAUCCAAGCAAAUCCAAACAAUAUAAAUCCAGUAGAGAAGCCAAAUUCUAUUUUUUUUUUUCCUGCUAUUUUCCUACCCUAACUUUGACAAAUUAGCCAAAUUGUUACUCAACCGUCAAAUAUAUCAACUUCUGUUAAUUUCAUAUUUUAAAACCAUNNNNNNNNNNNNNNNNNNNNUAAUACAUUCAAAUACACAAAAUAUAAAAAAUAUUAUAUACUAACUAACUAACCAUAUUUUUUUAAUUCAAAGGUUGUUUCAUUCUAUCAAAAGUAGAAGAUACAUUAUGAAUCGAUCCACUGCUUUGCGUACAGAGGGCAAAUAAGAUCGUUUGAUUCACAUAGGGUGACACCCUCGUUACACAAUUCUUGCUCACUGAAACAUACAAAGUGAGAGGACUCACUUAACACCACAAUUUAGCCUAUAAUCAACAAAGAGCUUAUAGGCAAUUAUUCUACAACAUGAAAUAAAGGGAAAUAAAGAACAAACCCCACAACCAUGGACCAAGGCCCAAAGUAGAGUCUAGGCCCAAGUACCUAUGGACCCAUGCCAAACCCGCAGCUAUUUUCUCUGGAUACCCAGAAUGGGCACCCAGAGACAAAUGCCGCCUUCCGCUGCCACGAGAUUCGGCGGGCGGCCUUGCACCCACUAAACCAGAACCAUCUGUAACGACCUCUUCACAUCCGGUCGGGCCUGUCGCCAAUCGCCUCCACCUCUAGAUUCAGAGGACGCCGUCACACCACACUACUACAAAUAUGGGCUUUAAUGACAUUAUAUCCAUGGCGUUUCUGGCAAAAUCGCCAUGAAAGAAUGUUUCAAUGACAUUUUUAUAUCAAAACGUCAUAAUCCUUCUGGGCUAAAUAAUUAACGACAUUUUUGAAAUUCCGUAGAAUAUUAUAAACAUUAACGGCGUUUUCCAUACGCCAUAAAAGGUAACCGCGUUUAGUUAACGCCAUUAAAAUACAAUAAGACGGCGUCUGUAAAACGCCAUACUUCAAAACUUCAAUUUUUAUUUCAUUUGCCGCACCCAUUCGUAGAUCUCAAUUAAACCAAAACUUUCAUAUUCUUCAUUCUCAAAAAAAAAACCUUCGGUCUCUCUUAUCUGUCUGUCUCUCCCCUCCCUGAUCCCUUUUCUUCUCGACCUAGAGCAAUCCCUUGCCUCUAUCUUCUCAAUGGGCUCAGACUACACUUGCAGUGGAUUGUAAUGGAGGCUUCAAACCACAGGCAUGUCACUGUUUGCUGCGAUGCGGCGGUCACUAGGAAAGAGGCGGUGCAAAGGUGGGUUUUUCUCUAUUUCAACUCAUGUUUGGGUUUUUCUCCCUUUCGGUUCUUAUUGAAUUGGGUUCUGAAAUUUCUAGACUAUAAUUUGUGGUGUUAGUUCGAUUAGGGCAAUCAAAAUGGAUGCGAAUUCACAGUUCAUAGUUAUCAUUUCAUCAUAAAUAUUAAGGCUUUUGUAUGAAUUGUGGUGUUGUUGUUUUACGGACUCAUUGGGUUUCUGAGUUUGGGGCUUUUGCUUUGUCAAUAGCUGGGAGCGCUUAUGGUUUUAUUGUUUUGAUUUUCAGAAUUUGGUUUUGGUUUGUGAAUGGAAAGUUUAGGAGUUCAAAAUAACGGGUUUUGGUCUGUUUGAUUGAAGCUUCGGAUGUUCUACUGUGCCUCUUAUGGUUAUUAAUUUUUGGUUAUUGAAAUAGGCAAAAAUUGGGUUAUCUUACUCAGAUUGGUGUUGUAGGCAUUUGGGUAUUUAAAUAUAUUCAUGAAUCAUGACAAUGGCUUCAAUCUACUGUGAAAAUUAUGUUCUCUUUCUGUUGGUCAACUUCGAUAUCUUAUUCUGUGAUGCUUUAUAUUUUAAUGAUCUUCAAGGUUCCAUAUCUUAGGCCUCAUAUAUUGAUUAUGUUUAUCGGCAGUUGCUGAAUAACCUCAUUAGCACGAUGCUAGGAUGUAGCAGUAGCCAUGUUAAAUAUGCAAGUAGUUUUGUUUAUGAUCUAGCACCCAAUUUUUUUAUAUAUUUUCAGGAAUUGCCUAAUCCAGCAAAGGAUAUUUGAACACACAUGCUUGCACAAAAUUCAUUAUCACACAUGCAUGUAUUGUUACUUAUCUUUCAGGAUUUCAGAUCUUAAUCAUAAAAGCAUUUACUAAACUUUGCAGAUAUGACGAUGGAACCAUAAUUCCUUGUCUUUUAUUUUCUUUCCCCAUUCAAAACUCCCUUUUUUAUUCUGAAAUAGAUAGGAGCUUUACUCAUAACUAAAGGAUAGGGAAGACAAUUGAUUCAGGUUCAUGUCAAGGAACUUCAGGAACUUGUCCCAAAUGGUGCCAAGGUUAGUGUUUUUACAUUUAGUAAUUAUUGUUGGGCAGUACUGCAGUAUGUAGUGGUGUAUCUUUUCUAACUAGGUUUUCUUCAUCUGUGGUAAUAAGUUCAGUGCAGCAUUGAUGGCAUUGAGGACUGAACAAUAAAACACAUGAUGUAUUUAAGAAGAAAGACUGACCAAGCUGAAAAAUAUGCACAUCAAGAUCAAGAGGUAUGCAAAGUUCAUUCAUAUGUGUGUCUUUCUUCCUUUUCCAAAAAGCAAGGAUAUUUUGCAAUAUGAAUUUCAGAAUCUGAUGUUCCAAAACUAUUUUCAACUACUUUAUGUUUUGAGGAAUCAUGAGUAUGACAAUACAUAUUGUUAACAUAAUGCAUGUAUAAGAGAAACUGUUUGUGUGUUCAUAGUUUUUCAUCUCACGCCCCUUUAGUAAGAUUGUAUCAGAUAGUAAACUGAGUUUCAGUUAUCCCCAUAAUUACCAUAAUAGUAUAUGAUUAACAACUAUGUAAUCUCAAACAGUUUCUGCAUGGACUUGCAUUGUUUUUUUUCUUGCAAAUGGUUUUCUACAAGGAGCUUGCAGUUAUCCUUUACUUUUAUCAAAUUAUCAGUUGCAUUACAAAUCUCUGACUAGGUCUGUUUGCAGUGUAUUGGUACACAGUGGUGAGGUGCAUGGUGGACAUUACUACGCCUUUAGCAGGCCGACACUUUCUAAUUAGUGGUACGCAUCUGGUUUCCUAAUCAGUGGUUAGCCAUUGCUAUCGUCCUUUUGUUGUUGUGACUGACUGUCGUUGUUCAUUUGCAGAUGCAGAAGCACACCACUCUGAAGUCUCUAAGUGCUCAUGUAUACCUUAAUUAUCUUCCUUUUUGUACAUAGUUCUUUUUGUAAGCUUACAUAUACAUGAAUUUGUUGAGAAAAAGAAUAAACAUUAGAUUGAUGGAUGUUUGCAGAUCUAUGUCUUUUUUUAUUAAUUCAUUGUGGUGUGUAAUAGUUUUUACUUAUACCCAAUAUGAUAAUUGAUUUUCUGAUUAAUUACAGAAAAUCAAUAAUUUUUUUUUAAAAGCUGAAAAUAGUUCCAUGGCAUUUGAAAAACGCCAUUAAAUUAAGUUUAACGACGUUUUGAAAAACGUCAUGGAAUUUAACGACGUUUUGAAAACGUUAUUAAAUAUAAUUUAUGACAUUUUAGAAACGCCGUGGAUGUAGUGAUUGAUGGUGUUUUUGAAACGCCGUGAAAUCAGUUCCAAAGGACGGCUCCACUUUAGACGGCGUUACGGGAUGACUUUGAAAAACGCCAUGGAUGACAUUCUAUAGCGUUUUUCAAACGCCGUAGAUUUGUAUGUGUGUACUAGUGCCAGAUCGAUAUGUGAGAGAGAGGUCAAGCCGCAACAAAGCCCUCAUUUACCAAAGUCGACCGUCAACAACCACUGCCGCUCAGAUCCAAUCCCGUCGAAAGAAGGCUAGAGUUCAAACCACCGAUCCAAUCUCAUCUGAAAUAAAUCCGAUUGAAAUCUCGCGAUCAAACUCCGUACUCCGCCUUGGACUGAAUCAGAAGCUGCCACCGCUACCACCGUCUCCUACCUCAAAGAUUGGAGCUGUCAACACCCGCAAUUGAUGUUGUCCAGUCGCCCAGUCGUCGUCAGACCCCAAACCAAACUCACGAUCUAGAGCUUACCUCCACGCCACCAAAACCGCUUGGAAGCUUGCCCACUCCACCAAAUCAUGAUCCCAACCGCUCACCACCAGCUAAGAAGCAGAAGUGAAACUGCCGCCUCCUACUCGAUCGUCUCCUAUCCUAAGAAAACCGUAGCAGAGAGAGAUUUAACUGAAUGUAAGUUUUUAGAUUUAAGCUUAGGCUUGAAAAGAUUUAAGCAAAUAGAGUCAUUAGAUCCGGGCCGCUCACCACCAGCCAAGAAGCCGAAGUGAAACCGUCGCCUCCUACGCGAUCGUCUCAUGUCCUAAAAAAACCGUAGCAGAGAGAGAUUCGACUGAAUGUAUGUUUUUAGAUUUAAGCUUAGGCUUGAAAAAAAAAAGAUUUAAGCAAACAGAGUCAUUAGAGCAUUACUCUUUGCUAGUUUGUGCUUCUUAGAAUAUUGAAUACAUGUACUUUGUUGAAAUUCUCGAUAUUAAUUUAAGACUUCUAGAUGCUUUUUGUAAUCAGGGGUUCAGGUUCCACGUCUCUUUCUCAAGGUAAAGCGUAUCCCUAAUCUAGUGCUUAUUGAUUGGGAGAGACUGGAAGUAGAGUUACUCUAUCUUUGACCAAAUUACCGAGUAUCAUUGCCUCUUUGAACAGUUUUAUGUUAACGGGGUUACAUAUUCAACUUCUUUUUUUUGGGAUCACGAGUCACGUAAAUACUUUGAAGCCAAUUGACAUAUAGGCUAUAAUAUGCGCUCUCUCUCUCUCUCUCUCUCUCUCUCUCUCACUUCUCUCCACCCGGCUUUUAUUCAAUAGUUUUAUUAAUAAAGGUUUGAGAAAAGUCGCAUCUGGCCUUUAUUCAAAAUAAAAAAAAGUACCUUGAGAUUUGAAAAAAAAAAGUAGUACACAAGAAAAAACUUCUUGCUAUAUGCAGAAUCAGACUGUGGAGCUCUCUUUUAGAGCAUAAACACAUACAUGCACAAUGCAUAUGCAUCAGACAACAUAAUUGUUGUGUGGUCUGAUGGAAAUAUGGCCCUAACCACUAGAACAAGAAAAGAACUUGGAAUGAUUAAUGACAGUUAUCUAAAAGUCCAGUGGGCCAUGAGAGCCACUAGGCCCCUAUGUGGCUCUGCCCCUAGGGGGUGAAAUUUCAUGUUUCUCGCAUUCCUGGCAAUUGGUGGUGUGCAUCAAUUUUAGUGGGUGGUGGCGCACUGUCUUCAAGUGAUGUUGCAAGUGUGGCUCUGGAUGGGGUUGGCGGUUCAUGGAUGAUAGAUGGUGACGAAGAAUUCUAUUGAUGAGUUUGACUCUCCGGGCAAUAGAUACUAACUAGAGCAUGAGCUAACUAGGGACUUUGAAGAAGCUUGCUCAUACCGUUGACUCAAGGUUUGAUUGCUGAGAGAAAAGGGGAAGGUACUUGCAUAAAACCUUCUUACGCUCAAGUUAAUAAAACGUCUUUUUCUUUGUUGAGUAUAAUGAGAAGAGAUAGAACGAGAUCAUUUUACAUGGCUAUGACGCUGAUUAUUUAUAGGUGAACACCUACUUUAAAUGCGAGUAAACUUGCGCAUCAAGUUGUCUUUAACUUGUGCUGAAAUUUGUCUUGAUUACCUGUUUGUAUAUUUGUAUUGCCUCGCCUAGUUAUAAUAAUAUUUGUAUUAUUUCUUAAUGGAUGAUGUUGAACUCUUUUGGGCAUCAAUAUUUGUCUAAAGAGUGAAACUAAGCUCAUGUGAAGAUUUUUUGUCAACCCCUUUUAAAGGCAAAUCCUUAUAUAUGGUUUUGUUGAUCAACAAAAGACCUAAAUUGUCAAACAUUUUGUUUGAUAACAACAUACAAAAUAAAGACAACCUAUGCCAUGAAAAUCAAAGUUGAAAGCAUUGAGCACAUAUAAAGGUAGGUAGUUCAUUCCACUAACCAGCAAUUGGAGUCGAGUGACCCAUAUCUGCAAUAUUUUCUGCUAAAUAAUUUGGCUCCCCCUAAAUAUGAGUGAAAGUAAUGGAUUGAAUAAAAAUAAAAAAAACAUUGAAGAUAAAGAUAGAACAGUUAAAUGAAAGACUAAAAAUAUUAUAUCUUUAUUAAUGAAUUUUUACUUUAGAAAAUAAAUGAUUAUGUGAUUCUAGUUCCUUGCAAGGGGGACAAUGUCUCAAUAAGUCUCACUGUGAAUUGAAGAUAUGAGAAGCUACAAACUCGAAACUAGCCUCCUAACCAACAAAGCUCAUAUUGGAGAGGUUUCACUUUUGAUCAGCUAUUUUUGUAUGCAUUAUUAUUGGUCUUGAUUUUGGUUCCCAGUCACCUUCUCACCAAGAGUCUUUCCUUUGUUAUCAACAUCAUUCAAUUUAUUGUUGAUAAGCCGCCCAAGAACAUCCAUAUCCAUCAACUUCAGAUUCUGAAAUUGAGGAAGUCCUGUUGUGAGACUCUGAAACAAUACAGCUUUCAUUUCGUUCUCACGAUUUUUUCUUCUCACUUUCUUUAACUGUUCAUUUUCUUUAAAGAUCAUCCUAAUCAGAUAGGUUUCCUGGCUCAACAUCUUCCUGCUCUUCUCUAUCACAGGCAAAUUCUUGAAUUUUUCUAGAACAUUUUCAACCAUUGAUUGGGAAGACCAAACUUCAACUUGAGAGUCAAAUGGGCUAUAAACUAUAGCACAUGCAUCGACUCCACAAAGAAUGCUAAGUUCGCCCAACUUCUUCAUCAUACUCUUCUUUCUUUUAUUGAAUGUAGCUUUUCUGGCUGAAUUGUUGAUGAUAUAGGCUAUUUUCACUUUCUUUCUAGCCAUGGAUAUGUCUCACAAAUAAAAUAAAAGAGAAGGAACUCAAGGUAGUUUCUUUCCUUCGACAAGCUUUGUAUAUAUACAAUAUCUGACUAUACUUCAAGGUUAGGUGAAAUCUUAUUCAACUUAUCUAACCACGAGAGAAAUCUUUGUUGUCUAAUUUAUUAAAAAUAAAUGAUAAUUUCACGUAAAUGGAAGUUAAAUAAAGUGUGAUUGAUAAAAUGACAUGUAUAGUUGCACUACACCAAUAUUGAGCAACAACCACACACCCCAGUGUGACCUUUAGCCUUUAUAUUAUAUGUGGCAUUUGGUGUGCUAUCAGGGACCACACCUUGGUGUGUGGCUGAUGUUCAAUAUUGUAGUAGUGUUGGUAGCAUUACAUUAGUGUAAGCAAAAUUUAAUAUGAUUUAUAAAGUUUACAAAUGUGAAUAGAUUGAUUUUUAUUUAAUAUUGAUUUUAUUGUUCAUAAAUUUGGUAAUCUAAACUAUAUUUGAUAGUGGUAUACUGGUAUUUUUGAGACCAAAAUCUCAUCGAACGGUGCAUUUUAACCAUUAAGUGAAAACAUGACCGAAAAACCUACAUCUCAACAUUAUGACAUAAGCCCACAUUCUUGGACAUAUUUUGGGUCUGGAUUCAUGUGUUCGGCUCAAUCAGAGCUGGUUUGCUUUUAAUUUUCAGUUAUUUCGGUUCUCUAGUUGUAGCUUUUUGUUUGGACUGUAAACAAGUCAUAUAUGGCUUGGACCAUGUUAUCACCAUACACAAUGAGUCGAUGAAAAGCUAACAUCCAAAUUGGAAGGGGAGUGUGGUGACCUGAUUGAGUGGGUGUUGAAGGAACUGAUAAGCUAGCAGGAACAUAUUUGGGUAUCUUGAUCUUUGUUGGGUCAUAACACCAGUGAGUGUUUUUCCAAGCGAACGAACGGUGUGCGGUUGCAGGUGUAGCGUUUUACAGAUUGGGUUCGGGUCAUAUAAAUGUCGAGAGCAUAUCAGCUUAAGAUCUUUGACGUUAGCCGCUGCUUGUAGGUUUGCUCGAUCCCUAUGAACAUCGGUGGGACUUAGAUUCGGUUUUUACCAAUUGUUAACUAGAAGCUUUGCUAGAAGAGCCGACCACCCAAAGAAUAGAGGAUGGUGACAACAUGGUUUUGGGUUUAGGCUCAGGCUUGACUUGGAUGCUUGGGUUUGGGAUUGAUUAAUUAGGCCUAUUCUGAAACUCCAAAUAAGGGGAUCAAAGAUACAUGUCCUCAAGUAGAGCCGAUGGGAAACCUGUUGCCGAGAAUGACUCUUUCUACAAUUCUCUAGGCUUUUUAAUCAUUUUGGACUUAAGCCGUUUGAAUUAUGAGUAAUUUAUUAAAGCUUUUAUAAGUUGUUUCUAGUUGAUAUAUGUACCACAACCGCAUUCUUGAUCGAUUAGACUUGAUGAAUAUAUCUUUCUUAGAGAGUGGGAUUAAUCUUUCUGCUCGGAGAACGAUCACUUAGAAUUUUAAAUACGUAGCUUAGAUAUAUUUAUAUAUCUAUUCGAUUUAAACCUAUCGUGAAAACUCUCUCUAGCUCUGUUGCGGUGUUUUUGAAUGACCAAAUUUUUAAAACCUCAGCCAUAGAUCUCAAUCUAUUAAGUUAGAACUAUAGAGGGAUCUGCAAUGACACAACGACAAGAGCCUUGAAGGAUCUCUUCGCUCAGAAUAGUCCUCAGGUAUUUUUUUUUCUUUGUGAAACAAAGAUUAGCAGAGCCGAGGAUUUUGCGAGGUUGAAGAAUGAACUAGGGUUUGCCAAUGCUGAAGCGGUCUUUAGUCUUGCCAGAUCAGGGGGCUUAGGAAUGUUCUGCACUGACGAGUUGAAGAUCAAGAUCAGCACUACUUCUGCAUAUCAUAUUGAUGCGGUGGUUGAGGGCGCUAUGGGCUGUGCGUCUUGGAGAUUCAGAGGUUUUUAUAGUUAUGUAAGCACCGGAGAUAAGGAUGAAUUAUGGCAACUUCUUCAUGAAUUAUCCAAUCUAGAUUCUUUGCCAUGGGUGAUCAUAGGAGAUUUCAAUGAAAUUCUCAAUAAUGGGGAGAAGAUUGAUGGUCCUUUAAGAUCAGUAAGACAGUGAGAGGAUUCAGGGAGGCGCUAAGGUAUGGUGAGCUUCUUGAUCUGGGCUAUCACGGGGCGAUAACAACAUGGGGUAAUUCAUAGACUCUUCUCAUAAUCUCAGGUUGGAUAGAGCUGUUUGUACUACUUGUUGGUUUGAUCUAUUUUUCCAUGCUAAGUUGUUUCAUCUGCCGCCUUCAGACUUAGAUCAUGUUCUCCUGUUAUUGAAAGCAAGUACAGCGCCCCUGAGUUUGUGUCCUAAGGUAUAUAGAUUCCAAUUUGAACCUUUCUGGUUGCAACAUGAGGACUGUGACAAAAUGAUGACAGAAGCAUGGAAUGAGAGUGCUGAUGGGGUUCCUAUGUAUGUGGUGACCCAAAAGAUAAAGAAAACCCGAAUGAAGCUUGAUAAGUGGCAAAAAGAGGUUUUUAGAGGUAGACAACUUCAAAUGAUGGCAGUUCGAGGUCGAUUAGAGGAGCUUAUGGGAUUGUUUGUUACAAUUGUAGAGGAGAAGAAGCAGUUAUUCACAUGUGGAAAAACUAAAGGCAAAGCUUGCAGAAAUUUUUUUAUAUUUCUUCUUGGUAAUGAACAAGGUUACAAACCUAAACUAUAUAUAAAAAAGUUGGGUGAGAAACACACUUCAUCACUCAUACAUCUCUUACACACACAAGACUAACCUAGCUAAAGUAACAAGGCAGCACAUCUGUGGCACUAAAACCAAAAACACCAUACUGCUUUAGGAGACCAACAGUAGCCACCAUGAUGCUAUAAAAGAGGAGACGCCCAUAAGUUGUUGUCACACACUUACACAAUCUCACACCUCUAAAGUCAACUUAAACUAGAUUAGUUCAAACUGAACUAAUCUCUUACACAACAACUUUAAUAUACAAGUAAUGUAAAUUAUACAUGUAAGAUAUAAACAAGAAAGGUAAUCCUGAAGGAGACGACAUCAGCCAUGCAUCCUCGGAUUCGAGAUACCACAGCACCUAUAUAUCCCUCAGAUACAACCAUACUUGCAUACCAUAGCCAUACCUACAAUAUUCCUCCAAUAUCACAUGACUGCAAAAUCUUCUACAUCAGGAGGAGAUGUUUUGGAAGCAAAGAUCAAAACUGUUGUGGUUGAAAGAAGGAGAUCGGAAUACAAACUUUUUCAUAAGAAGGUAGAAAGCAGAAAACAGAAAAAAAAAAAACCCUUCAAGGUCUGCUCGACAAGGAUGGAGUUUGUUAAGAGGAAGAGAAAGGAAUAGAAGCAGUGAUUACUGACUAUUUUGAGCAGAUGUUUACAUGCAACCUCUCCUAUAGACAUAGAUGUUGUAAAUAAAACUCUCGAACUAUUACACCAGGUGUUUCUCAAGAGAUGAAUGAGCAACUAACACGUCAAUAUACACACUACCAGAAGAAAGGCUUUAGCUGACGAAAAUUAAAAAACCAGGCCGACAAAUUAUUUUUUCGUCGGCUAAAGUCCACUUUAGCCGACGAAAUUUUCCUUCAUCGGCUAAUUUAAAUUUUCGUCGGCUGAAUAAAUUUUUUCGUCCACUAUACGAACUUUAGCCGACGAAAAUUUUGUCGGCCAAAGUUUUCCUUCGUCGGCCAAAGUUUUUACUCGUCGGCUAAAGUAUUUUAGUAGACGAAAAAAAAUCUCGUCGGCUAAAAGAAAAACAAUAAAAUGUUGUAUAACUUGCUUAGUAGGUUUUAAACAAAUACACAACUUUGUGAACCAACUCUACAUAGAAGCAAAAUUAACAAAAAUCUCGUGAAAUAAGAUGUGUUCAGAACGGUGAAAUACGGCUAUGGUUUAAAAAUCACAUAAAUCGGGUAACGUCUCUGAUGUAGAACAGUCGAAACCCGGUAUUUACUAUGCUGCAGAUUUGGCAUUCGGUGUCCGAUUGACUAUUGUGAUACCUUUCCGGAAGCGUAACGGCCCUAGGAGUCAAACCCAUUGCCAUGCCAUUACAUAUGGGCCUUUUUGGCCAUCCGAGUCCGUUUAGGGCUUCAAAAUGCAGUUUUCUUAUUUUCGAUUAGAGUUGACCGUUUCGAUCGAGCUCUUAACGUUGUCGAAUCCAGUUGAAUUUUUUACCAUUGACAACUUUCGUCAUAAUGAUCAUAUAUGAAGUCGAAUUUUGGUUUGUGAAUUUUAGUCAUCGGAAUCACAACGUGUCUACUAAUGUUGUAUAACUUGUUUAGUAGGUUAUACAACAUAGGAAGCAAAAUUAUCAAAAAUCUUGAAAAAUAAGAUGUGUUCAGAAUGAUGAAAUACGGCUAUGGUUCAAAAAUCACGUAAACUGGGUAACGUCUCGGUGCCGAUAGUAGCGGUUAACCCUAUUUACCAUUAUUAUUCCCUAUGGGGAGCCCUAUCGUCGGAAGGUAAAUGUCUCAAAUUUUUUAUAUGGGCAGUUGCGUCUCAUCUACGUGAGAGUUUUUCAUGUGGAAGGUUUGACCAAACUAUGUAAUAUAGAAGGAGAUAUGAGCGUUUUCGUGUGAUAAGUGAAGAUAGAUUAGGGUUGACCGUUUCGAUCGAGCCCUUAACGUUGUCGGAUCCAGUUGAAUUUUUUACCAUAGACAUAUUUCAUAAUAAUGAUCAUAUCUGACGGUCAAAUUUUGGUUUGUGAAUUUUAGUCAUCGGAAUCACAACGUGUCUACUAAUGUUGUAUAACUUGUUUAGUAGGUUAUACAACUUUGUGAACCAACUCUACAUAGGAGGCAAAAUUAUCAAAAAUCUCGUGAAAUAAGAUGUGUUCAGAAAGGUAAAAUACGGCUAUGGUUCAAAAAUCACGUAAAUCGGGUAUCGUCUCGGUAUCGAUAGUAGCGGUCAACCCUAUUUACCGUUAUUAUUCCCUAUGGGGAGCCCUAUCGUCGGAAGGUAAAUGUCUCAAAAUUUUUAUAUUGGUGGUUGCGUCUCAUCUACGUGAAAGUUUUUCGUGUGGAAGGUUUGACCAAACUACGUAAUAUAGAGGGAGAUAUGAGCGUUUUUGUGAAUUUAUAGACUUUAGUCGACGAGAUAUUAAAAAAGUCGUCGGCUAAGGUCAAAAUUUUUUUGGCUGUAAACCAAAUUUGGACGAAAAUUUUCAAAGGACUUUAGCCGACGAAAAUAUAUGAAAAGUCGUCGGCUAUUGUCAAAAAAUUUCAAAAUUUUCAAAAUUUUCAACCAAAAUUUUUUGGCGGUCAACCAAAAUUUUCAAAAUAGUUUAGCCGAUGAAAAUAAAGAAUUUCGUCAGGUAAAGUUCUUUAUAUAGGAGUUUUAUCGGAGGUGGAUGGUAAGAAGUCAGAAAAUCAGAAAAAGUUCUUCUCGGCCUAGCUCCGCCGUCAAGCCACCGGAGACCGCCACACUUGUCCCAAAAGCUUCGUCGUCGUCUCUACUUCAUUGCUGGACAGGUGGUGCAUCGAGUGACGCCGCCGUGAGGGAUAAAUCGAGCUCCAAAACUAUGCCGGUUCGGAUUCGGUGUCGAUCGAAUUUCUCUUUCCUCAUGUCACCAUUUGGUGAGUUCUAUAUAUGGAUAAGUUGAGUUUGAUUAGUGCUACAUUCCCUUAGAAUUUGGUAGCUCGAUUCGGUGUGUGUGAGGAGAAUCGAAGAUUUGAACUUUUUAGGGUUUAACAUUGGGGACUUUUAUAUUUUAAUUCAAUUGACCUGUUUAGGCUUAGAAUUGGGCUUCGACUUCUUCUAGAAAGUUUUUCGAAAUGUUGAGAGGAAGAUUCUGUCAAAUUUUGGUGGUGAUUGGAGGUGGCCGAAAGUUUCUGCAGUUUUUUUUUUCAAAAACCAGCAACUUUAGCCGACGAUAUUUAAAUACUUUCGUCGGCUAUAGUUAUUUUAAAAAUUUUUUUUUAUAAGGUUUAGCCGACGAAACAGACUAUAUUUCGUCGGCUAUAGUUAUUUUUUUAAUUUUUUAUUACAUAAUUUUGCCGACGAUAUUCGUCGGCUAAAGUGUGGGAAAAAGACCGACGACAUGUUUUUCGUCGACUAAACUGUGGGACUAUAGCCGACGACGUCUUCUUUUUUCGUCGGCUAAAGUCAUCGCCGACGACCUUUUCCUGACGAAAUCUUAGCCGACGAUCCAUCGUCAGCUAAGAUAUUAGCCGACGAAUUAAGCUAACAGGCCGACGAAACUUUGUGGUCGGCUAAAAUGCUUGUCCUGGUAGUGACAGCUGAGGAGAUUAAGAGGGGUCUGUUCCAGAUGUACCCUACGAAAUCUGCAGGACCUGAUGGCAUGCCUCCAUUAUUUUUUUCAACACUAUUGGGAGCUUAUUGGAGGAGAUGUUGUAAGUAGUGGUUACUGACUAUUUUGAGCAUGUUUACAACCUCUCCUAUAGACAUAGAGGCUGUAAAUAAAACUCUCAAACUAUUACACCAUAUGUUUCUUAAGAGAUGAAUGAGCAACUAACAUGUCAAUAUACAAUUGAGGAUUAGGAGGGCUCUGUUCCAAAUGUACCCUAUGAAAUCUCUAGGACAUGAUGACAUGCCUUCAUUAUUUUUUUAGCACUAUUGGGAGCUUCUUAGAGGAGAUGUUGUAGCAGCCGUUCAAAAUCUUUUCCUUACGAGAAAAAUUUUGAAACAGAACAACUACACACAUAUUACUACCAGGACAAGCACUUUAGCCGACGAAACUCAUAUCACUACCAGGACAAGCACUUUUAAUUCGUCGGCUAAGAUUUCGUCGGGAAAAGGUCGUCGGCGAUGACUUUAGCCAACGAAACUAGAAGACGUCUUUGGCUAUAGUCCCAGAGUUUAGCCGACGAAAAACAUAUCGUCGGUUUUUUUCCCAGACUUUAGCCGACGAAAGAUUUAAGAUAUUCGUCGGCUAUAGUCCUAGAGUUUAGCCGACGAAAAACAUGUCGUCGGUUUUUUCCCAGACUUUAGCCGACGAAACAUUUAAGAUAUUUGUCGGCUAAAGUGUGUAAUUAAAAAUUAAAAAAUAACUAAAGCUGACGAAAUAUAGUCUGUUUCGUCGGCUUUAGAAUGGUUUAGCUGACGAAACAUUCCAUAAUUCGUCGGCUAAGCCUUAUUUAAAAAAAAUUUAAAAUACUAUAGCCGACGAAUUAUUGCGUAUUUCAUCGGCUAUAAGUCCAUUCUAGUAAAAAAAAAACCCGAAAUUUCUAAUUACCAUUCCAAGCAAGCUGCAAAAUACACCAAAACAAUUCUAUAUAACCAACAACAAGCACAUAAAACUAUAUAAUUGAUCAACUACACAAAAUUUAGAUCGUCUAAAUUAAUAUCCGCUUCUGGGGGCUGCUGCGGAGGUUGCUGCGGAGGUUGCGGUGGCUGGGGUAGCGGUAUAGCCGUAGGCAUAGGUGGAGCCGGAAGUCCCUGAAGCUGGGUAGCUGUAAAGUUCUGCAUGUACUGGAAUAUCUGCUGCUGCUGGGCCUGCUGGAUGGCAUGUAUCUCGGCAGCAUAGGCUACCUUCGAGGCAUUAUAGGCUGCUUGAGCAGCUUGCUGUUCCCGUAGUCUCUGAACUUCCGACUCUAGCUGAGUCGUCCAAGUGGUCGUGGUCGUGGUCGUGGUCCUGCUGCUGGUCGAGGCUGCCUUUCGUUGAAAUCCUGGAGUGGUCUUCAGGACCCCCUCGCCCUUCUUUCCUAGACUCUGGCAGUAAAAAUUGUUUGCUCGCGGUGGGAAGGCUGUGCCCAUGAUCCUCUCCCCAACCGUCGGAUCCGAAGUGUCGAUCCGGGACAUGGCUUCAGACAUCUCUUCGUCUUGCGUGUCCGGCGAUGUCUCCCUCACUAUAGCACUCAUCACCUCGUCACUAGCCUCCCUCACAUUCGCCUAAUUGAAUAGGAAAAAAAUUAUUAAUUAACAUUUUGAUAUAUAUAUAUAAAUAAAAUUAAAAAUUUAAAAACAUAAGAUGACUUACAAUAUCCUUCUGGGCGUCAGGAUAUGCCUUCUUGUACGUAUAGACGUACCGGUUGACUUCUGGAUGUUCCCUGGCCGCCUCGUCCAUGAAGACAGCGAAUGGUCUAGAACCGGCAUAAUGGUUCCUUGUGUUGCAUUGCCGGUUAUUAGUAAAAUAUAUUUAAAAACGCACGUACUUAAUGACAAAUUAACUAAUUAAUUUUUUUAAAUACCUGUUUACGAGGGUUGUUGAAUUCUGAUGUCAGAAGCCAACGCUACUCGUACUCCCUGUACUGGAACUCAGUAGGGGUACCAGAACGUGCGUUCCCGUGCGUAGUCCAGUGGGUCCGCAACUCGUUCUUCCACUCCUUGUACCUACAGAUACAACAAAAAUAUUAGAAAUAUCAUUAAUAUCACAUACAAUUUUUUUUUCAUUAACUUCCCAACGUACCUUCCCCCAUGCACAACGUCCGCCCAGCUGCUCUUCAGGUGGUCGGGAACCUCAAACCACACAUGCAUUUAACCGUUUAUUAGUUUAGUUUUUCGAGAAAUCAACAAUGUAAUACAUAAUAUUAUUGAGGCAUUUUGUAAACUCACCGACAUCGCGUUGUGGACCAUGUCCUUAACCUCCUGUGGGAUCUCGCCCCAGUCUGACCACAACAUAGGGACUCUAUCCUUAAUGAGCGCUCCCACGUGGCCGGAGUACGUCAUCAACUUCCCGCCCGAUACUAUGUCGCCAUCCCCAUCAGUAUGGAUGACGAUCCUCCCUGAGAUACUGACGAUAUUCUCGAGAGCCUUCUCUGUGACUGGGCCUCUCUUCUUCUUUGCCGGCUUCUCUCCGACGGUGCCUAUCACAUGAUAAACUAAAUUAAUUAUUAAAAUCGGAGAAUUAUAAGAAAACAAAUCAUUCAUUACCUGAGGGCAAUGCGGCGGACGUGACGGAAUCCGUCUCUGUCGCCGAUGAUGAUACCCUCGCGGAAAUAAGAGGCGUAUCAAAAGGCACGAACCGGUACGCCACUGAUGGAGCCACUAGCGGGGGCAAUGGAUAAAUCGGCGUCCCUGAGCCAUCGACUGCAGGUAAGGCCGGUAUCAUCUGCGGAAGGAACAGAUGAGGCGGCGACAUCUGUACCCCAGAUGACCCACUAUCCGAAGAAGUAGGACCCGGAGUGGGCGCCCAGUGUAUCUCAGGCAUAUGGGGUGCAGACACCUCCGUUUAGGUCUGAGGCCACAGCUGCCUCGAGGAACGAGGGACGCCCACCUGCCUCGAUGAAGGGGGCACCUCAGGCUGCCUCUGCGCCAUCUCCAGAAGGGUCGCACGUCUGGCUGUCAUGGGGCCCUAAAACGACAUUUGAGGGUUGCUAGAGGUUCCCUCAGACGAUUUGGACUUUUGGCCCUUCGAACUCUUCGUCGAUCUAAAAUAACCGCUCAUCCUGUUUAAAAUAUUAAUUUGAAUCAAGGCUGAGGCAUGGGCGGAUACACUCAUUCAAUGUUGCUCGUUAAUUCAAAGCUGAGACAACAUUGAAAAGUAAAAAUUCAAUCUUAUCCUUCUCAAAUCUAAGGCUCUAGAUUAUUUUGUCUUUAUUCUAUAAAAAAUAUUUUUGAACCCAUUUUUUUUUCAUUAUGUUCAUGCUUAAAUUUAAACACUUAAUAUAAUGUGAAAUAUGUAUAUUUUUGAAAUUAUACUUGUUCAAAAAUAUGAAUUCAAUUAAAUAUAUAUAUAUAUAUAUUCAUCCGGAUUUGAUAUAGGUUUUUCUAUUUUGUAUUUUGUAUCUUAUGUUUAAAAAUUUCUACCUAGCCUACGAUGAAUGCAGUACCUAGUCAUGGAACAUAAUAAGUGCACAGUGCAAGCUUCAAGUUCAUUAUCAACAAAGCAUAUGUUUAAAAAAUGAGGAUAAUUAAUCUCCUAAACAUAAAUUAGGGAAAUUAGACAGUAACAUAAAGCAUAAAGCAUAGCCUAAAAAUCAAUUCGAAAUCAAAAGUAAAAAAGAAGAAAAACGCUAACCUUGGAGACCGGGAGAGGGAGGAGGCGGAGACCCAGAGAGGGAUCGGAGAGGAGGCGGAGACCAGGAGAGGGAGAGGGAGGAGGCCACAGCUCGGGAGAGGGAGAGGAGGCNNNNNNNNNNNNNNNNNNNNNNNNNNNNNNNNNNNNNNNNNNNNNNNNNNNNNNNNNNNNNNNNNNNNNNNNNNNNNNNNNNNNNNNNNNNNNNNNNNNNNNNNNNNNNNNNNNNNNNNNNNNNNNNNNNNNNNNNNNNNNNNNNNNNNNNNNNNNNNNNNNNNNNNNNNNNNNNNNNNNNNNNNNNNNNNNNNNNNNNNNNNNNNNNNNNNNNNNNNNNNNNNNNNNNNNNNNNNNNNNNNNNNNNNNNNNNNNNNNNNNNNNNNNNNNNNNNNNNNNNNNNNNNNNNNNNNNNNNNNNNNNNNNNNNNNNNNNNNNNNNNNNNNNNNNNNNNNNNNNNNNNNNNNNNNNNNNNNNNNNNNNNNNNNNNNNNNNNNNNNNNNNNNNNNNNNNNNNNNNNNNNNNNNNNNNNNNNNAGAGGGAGAGGAGGCGGAGGAGGCAGAAGAGGAGGCUAGGGUUUUUCUGUUGUCGAGCGCUGGGUGUUCGUCUCUAUACCCGACAACUUUAGCCGACGAAAUUAUUAUUUCGUCGGCUAAAGAUAAUAAUCUAGUCAGCUAAGAUCAAAUUCGUCGGCUAAACCUUUGAAAUUCGUCGGCUAUAGUACUUUUUAUACAUUCGGCAAAUUGUGAUUGUGAUGAUCAAACUUAUGAAACGGAAAUCCGACCGUCAGAUCUGACCAUCAUGACAAAAUACAUGAAUGGGCAAAAAAUUCAACUUGAUCCGACAAGGUUAAGGGCUCGAUCGGGACGGUCAAUCCCGUAAGUCAAACCCCUGAACACACGGAAAAGGUCGUUGGAUUGUCUAAAUUUCGUAUUUUGGCCGGACCUUCAACUGAAAAUAGUUUGAAAUCGAUAAGACGCAACAAGUCGUAUAAAAAUUUUACGCAAAAUAACCACCGAAGAUAGGGCUACUCAUAGGGAGAAAGAAUGAAAAAUUGCAUUGACCGCAACUAUCGGCACCUAAACUUUAUCAGAAUACUGUGAUUUUUCAACCGUGGACGUAUUUCACCAUUCUGGUCAUAUCUUAUUUCACGACGUUUUUGCGUUUGAAGGUUUUACGUAUAGUUUGUUUUUGAAACGGAACAUUUACUUGACACUUGGUAAACAAGUUAUACAACAUUAGCAGGCAUGUUGUGAUUGUGAUGAUCAAACUUGAGAAACGGAAAUCCGACCGUCAGAUCUGACCAUCAUGACAAAAUACAUGUAUGGGCAAAAAUUCAACUUGAUCCGAUAAGGUUAAGGGCUCGAUCCGGACGGUCAAUCCCGUAAGUCAAAGCCCUAAAUGCACGGAAAAUGUCGUUGGACGGUCUAAAUUUCGUAUUUUGGCCGGACCUUCAACUGAAAAUAGUUUCAAAUCGAUGAGACGCAACAAGUCGUAUAAAAAUUUUACGGAAAAUAACCACCGAAGAUAGGGCUAUAGUAUGUAAUAGAAAAAUUUUAGGGUUUAGCCGACGAAUACCCUAAUAUAUUUGUCGGCUAUAGUAUGUAAUAAAAAAAUAAAAAAUAAAUAAAGCCGACGAAAUAUUAGGGUAUUCGUUGGCUAACCUGAUCUUAACCGACGACUUAUAAUAUAAUUCAUCGGCUAAGAUGGUUUUAGCCGACGAAAUAUACUAUAAUUCAUCGGUUAAGAUGGUUUAGGCCGACGAAUUAUGAUGUAUUUCGUCGGCUAAAGUAUAAAAAAUACAUUAAAAAAACUGAAGGUUUAAUGUAAACCAUACUAACUUCCUGUUCAUAUAUCACCAAAAUUCAUAUAAAAUAACAGAAAUAUGAAUUCAACAUAUGUAAACUAUAAAGGUAAUACAUUCUUUUUUAUUACAAAUUAAUGUAUUACGUCCUCAAAAUUAAAACUAAGGCUCGUAAUCGGAAUCAUCCGAUGAGUCUUCUUCGGUGUCAGAAUUAAUUUCUGGUAAUCUAUGAAUUUCCUCAUCGCCAGAGUCUUCGUCUGUUUCUUGAUUUAGAUCAACAUUAAUAAGCCUUGGCUCUUCAUCACGAAUUCGCACCGAACGACCCGCUUUAAAAUUAUUAAAGCGAACGGUAGAGAAGUUAGGAAUACCUAUUGCGUUGGGCUCUUGAUACGCAACAUCUUCUUCCUCAUCUUCGGCCUCUCCAAGUGUAGCCGCCCGGUAAAUGUUUCGAGGGUGCACAAGGUUAACUACUUUCCACGCGUCAUCCUUUGCAAGGUCAUCAAGAUAAAACACUUGUUUUACCGAUGUGGCAAAAUCGAACUGGUCAUUUUCGUAACAACUUGUAGCAGUGUUCACCGAUAAUAUUCCGUACUGGUCGGUCUUCAUGCUCUGCGGCCUAGUAUCAAACCAUCUACACUUGAAGAGAUGCACUGUCAUGCCUUGCCCAUAAACGAGUUCCACCACUGAAUGGAGAACACCGUAAUAGUCAACUCCAUUUCGCCCACCAUGCGCCAUCACCCCAGAAUUCUGUGUUCUCUGUCUGUUGUCUCUCUGUUCAGAUAUAAAUUGCACGCCAUUCAUCUUGCACAUUGGAUAAACUCUUGACAUUAUCGGCUUCAUCGCUAGAAGUCUUAGUUCGUGUGACCAAUUUGGGUGACCAUCAAAUUGAAUAUGAUUCAUCUGCAACCAACCAUUCAACAGUAAAUAUGGAUAAUAUACAAUAAACAUAAACACGUACAUAAAUAUUGAAUUACGUACCCAACCGCCAAAAUAGUUUGCGAACUCCUUGUUGUGGUACUCGAGAUCACCUUGAAUAUCUGGACAAUAUAGAUGGAUGUCUUUCCAGUAUUCAACUUCUGGACAGUUAAUCAAUACCCACCAGUGGGCAAUGACUAGCUUAUGUGGUUGCAACUUGUAGGAGUCUGGCAAAAUUUCAUAAACUUCAACAUCACUGGAGAGUAUGGAAAGAUUGAACUUCGGUACAUCUACCGGUAUGGUUUGCGGAGUUUCCUUCAACGCUCCUAAAUACAACUUCAUGUAGGUGACGCACUCGUGCGCAAUAUAUGCUUCAGCUAUACAUCCUUCAGACGCGAAUUUAUUAGCCACAUAAUCUUUGUAGUCUCCAAGUUGCCUAUAAAUCAAGUUGCAAAGUUUUAUAAUUAUUGAACAUGUAUAUUGAGGAAUUCAGGUGUAAAAAACGUACCUUUCCAUGGGAUACAUCCAAGUGUAGUGUACUGGACUGGUAACCAACAAUUGCUCGGGAAGAUGGAUCAUCAGGUGAGGCAUGAUGUCAAAAAAAUUUGGAGGAAAUAUCCUCUCAAAUUUACACAUGAUAUAAAUGAUGUUUUCUUGCAUUUCCCGAAGGUUAGAUUUUUUCACUUCCCGUGUGCAUAACUUCUGGAAGAAUCUUGCCAACGUUACUAACGGCUCCACCACCAGACGGGGAAGGAACGGUCGAAUGAAAACAGGAAAGAGAAGUUGUAGAAAGAUAUGACAGUCAUGACUCUUCAACCCGUACAUCUUAUUGUCCCGGACGUUCAUACACCGGGCUAUAUUUCCUGCAUAGCCUGAAGGAUACUUCACACAACUCAUCCACUUAAAAAUUACGUUCUUCUGGUCAGGCUUCACUGUGUAAGAAGCUUGAGGCAUUUUCUUCUUCCCUUCUUUCAACCACACAUGUCUUCUUAAUUGCAUUUUUUUUAUUACAAUGCGUGCCUUAGGACCGUCUUUCGUCUUCCCUUCCAAGUUCAGCACUGUGCCCACCACACUGUCGCAAACAAUUCUUUUCUAUGUGCAUCACAUCUAGGUAGUGCCUGAUCAACAACUUACUCCAGUAUGGGAGUUCCCAAAAUAUGCUCUUAUGUGUCCAGAAUUUGUACCUGUCGGGUCUUUCAAGUAUUGCCGCCAUAAUAUUGGGAUGAUUGCUGAGCUGCCCAAAAUCGUACGCAUUAAACACUGCUAAAAUUUCUUCCCCCGUCCAUCUUCUAGGAGGCACACCGUUUUCUACGGUCCCAUCAAAUGCAUGUGCAUCGAACCGCCAUUCGUGAUCAUAUGGAAGGAGAGUACGGUGACCCAAUUUGCAUAUCUUGUUGCAAUGACUGCUGCUCCCCUCAUUGCUAAGGCACUCUGGACAAGCCUUGUAUCCCCUAACAACGUUGCUCGACAACAUCCCACGGGUAGGAAAAUCACUGAUAGUACCAACAACCAUGACAUGCAUCUAGAACAUCUCGUGCAUGUACUUGUCAUAAGUGGGAUGACCAACGUCCCACAAAAACUUAAGCUCUUCAAUCAAAGGUCUCAAAUACACAUCGAGACACUUCCCUGGAUAACCGGGCCCCGAAAUCAACAAACUUAACAUAUUGUAUUCCUUCUUCAUGCACAUCCAUGGAGGAAGGUUGUACGGUACCAAAAUCACCUGCCAUACACUGUAUUGAAGACUCAUGUUGCCAAAAGGGUUGAACCCAUCGGAUGAGAGCCCGAGCCUCAUAUUUCGGACCUCUGACGUAAAAUGAGGAAACUCCUUAUCUAUAUGGUUCCAAGCCUCCCCGUCAGCAGGGUGUAUAAGGGUAUCUUCGUCAUGCAAUUCCCUAUCAGUGUGCCAUCUCAUAGCUUCGGCCGUGUGUGAAGACAUGUACAACCGCUCCAGCCUAUCCCUUAACGGAAAAUACCGAAGUACCUUCACAGGUUUCCUAUUGCCUGCAGGAGUCAGCUUAUACAUGUCAGUGUGACACAUGCGUCAAGGCCACCAAGGUCAUUCCCUUCUUUCUGCAUGCAUGGAUCUUCAUGUAGGAAAGCCCAAGAUCUUUCAGGAUACAUCGGACCUUAUGAUGAGUGGUAGGAAGACGAUGACCAUGGGGUAGCAUAGAAGUAGUGUACUGUAGAUAAUCAUCAGCAGCCUUUACGGUCGAUUUUGUCUCAACUUUAAUCUUCAUUACGUCCAUCACACUUUCAAGAACGGUUUUCUGACAACCGGGGUACACAGGGGUCUGUUGGAAAGCAAGCAGUUUGUUGUACUUGUCAAUACCAGCAGUGUUGACAACUCUAGGGAAGGGUUUCAUCGGGUCAGGCAUAUACUGUCCUUGAGCGCAUACACCGCUCUCAUAAGGAAACAUGUCGUUGAUGAAGGCCGUUGUUGGAUCGUUGGAUGUACUGCCCGUCCCAGAAAAUUGCCCAUGAUCAUGCGGACCCCCUGAUGAUGUUUCACCGUGAUAUAACCAACAUUUGUACUUCUCCCAAAACUCGUUACUCUUCAGGUGUUGCCAUACUUUGUCAAUCGCAAAUCGAUGCAUAUCGCUGCGACACUGACAUUUCGUGCACGGGCAAUAAAAAAUUGUAUUCCCGUUAGCAUUAGCCAGCGCAUAUUCCAGAAAACUCAUAACUCCUUUACCAUAUCUUUUUUCCCGUUUUGGAAACGAAAUCCAACUCUUAUCCAUAUCCUGAAAAUAUAACAAAAUAUAUAUGUAUAAAGCUAGCUAAUUAUUCAUUAAAUUCUAUGCCAUAUAUAAAAUUUCAAUUCAUUUAGUAUAUAUUCUACGUACUACAACUAAUUGAUAAAAAAUUAAUUAACACACACAUAUAUAUAUACUUAAUAAUUACAUAACAAUAUUAUAUAUAUCAACAUCAUCACAAAAUCAUCAUCAACAACUUCAUACUAUCAACACAAUAUUAUAAUUAAUUAACAUAUAUAUAUAUAUAUAUAUAUAUAUAUCUACUACUUAUUAACAACAAACUUCAUAUAUAUUAUCAAAUUAUCAACCAAAUCGAUCAACACAUAUAUAUAUAUACAUCCAACGUACUCAAAAUCUAUCAAUUCAAUCACACUCAAAAUCGAUCAACUCAAAUAAAACUCAAAAUCAACAUAUAUACACUUGUACAUACCUAUAUAUAGCUCCACAAACUAAUUAUGGACAGAUUUCAACAACACCCAAACUUUUUCUCCCGUUUUUUCUUCUCCCGUUUUUUUUUUCCCAGAUGAGCUGCUGUCCAGAUCUGCAAAUAUAAAUCACUUUAGCCGACGAAAUUUUAAUUUCGUCGGCUAAAGAAUGUUUAAAGUCGUCGGCUAUAGUCUGUGAACUUUAGCCGACGAAAUAAAUUCUUUCGCCGACGAAAUUUAAAUUUCGUCGGCUAAAGUUGACCAUAGCCGACGAAAAUAAAAAUUAGCCGACGAAGGAAAAUUUCGUCGGCUAAAGUCCACUUUCGUCGGCCUGGUUUUUUUAUUUUCGUCGGCUAAAGCCUUUCUUCUGGUAGUGUAUGCUUAAUCCCAAAAACUGAAAACCUCGAGCAGAUGUCUAAUUUGCAACCGAUUGCCUUGUGUAAUGUUAUCUACAAAAUAUGUUCUAAGGCUAUUGCAAAUAAAUGAAGGUAAUUCUUCCUACCAUCAUAUCACUAUUCCAAAGUGCUUUUGUUCCUCGCAGAUUGAUAACGGAUAAUAUCUUUGUGGCCAAUGAAUUAGCUCAUUUUGUUCACAAUAGAAGGGAAGUCACUUUUGGAUAUAUGGCGUUGAAGCUUGAUUUAAACAAAUCAUAUGAUCGUAUGGAGUGGGAUUUUUUAGAGGAAGUAAUGUACAAAUUUGGCUUUGAUAGGAACUGGAUAUAUUUGGUUAUGCAAUGUGUUACAACUGUUAGAUACUCUUUUCUGAUUUGUGGUCAACCGAAGGGCUAUUUAACACCUAGUAGAGCUUUAAGACAAGGAGAUUCUUUAUCUCCUUUUCUUUUUUUAUUUGGUGCAAAAGGUUUAUCCGCUCUUUUAUAGAAAAAUUUAAAUAAAGAUGUGCUACCUGGUACUGCAGUAUGUGAUCAAGCCCCAAGAGUGAAUCAUAUAUUGUUUGUGGAUGAUAGUAUGUUUUAUGCUGAGGCAACAUCGAGAGCUUGUGUGGCAGUCAAGGAGGUAAUUGAUACGUAUGGGUGGGCAUCAAACCAGUUGGUUAAUUUUGCUAAGUGUUCUAUUGUUUUCAAUAAAAAUGUAGCUCAGGAGCAUCAGGACAUUAUCUCUAGCUGUUUGGGUAUGGCAGUUGUGGCAUCACAUGAAAAAUAUUUGGGGCUACCUACAUAUGUAGGUAGAAAUAAAACAAGUACAUUCCAGUAUAUCAAAAAGAGAUUAGAAGGGAAGUUGUCAGCUUGGCAGGGGAAGAUGCUAAGUGGAGUUGGUAAAAAUAUUCUCUUUCGGGUGGUAGCACAAGCUCUUCCUACUUAUCCUAUGUAGAAUUGAACAUUGAAGAGAUUAGGUGACAACAGUAAAAAGGGUGCCUAAUUCUAAUAUAAUAGGGGUCUAUUGGUGCAAGUCAGCUGAACGCCAUGAUUGAUGAGUAGGUAGGUGGGUUAGGUGCACCUCUCGCUUGGUGGGAAGUAAUGAGGCUAGUCUGCCCCCAUCCCCCCGGGAGAAUCUUAUGAAUCACACAAGGCACACUUUCUAUAUUUGAAUUUUUGAAGGCUAACAUAACAAGUGAGAACCGGUUCAAACCAUCUUAUAGGUCGUCCCCAUUACGAGAGGUCAAUACAAAUGUAAUACCCUAGAUUUUCAUAUCAAUUUUUCUUGUUUUAUUUCCGGAAAUAAUGAAGGAUUAUUUGUGGAAAUUCUUAGUUGGUUUUGCGAAGUUGAAGUUUCGGGAGUUUAUUUUAAAGUGUUUGUUUUAAGUGGCCAAAAAGUUGACUUUAUUUUCUGUAAGUUAUUUCGAAAACUUCUUUCAUAAACGUUGUAGAGUUUGUCGAUACGAGUUUGUAGACAUGCGGCACGCUUGAAACAGAUGUCGUAUGAGAAAGUUAUGGUAAGAGGAAGUUAGUUUCCGAUUUUGGGAAGAGUAUAAGUAGAAAAAUGUGUGGGAGUAAUUUUUUGGAAACCCUAUAAUUGCAGCAGCCUAGUUUCAGUUCUCUCUCCUCUCUCCCGACCCUCCCACACUCUCUUUCUUCUCCGGCUGAUUUCUCCUCCGUCCGGCCACCGGUUUGGGCGCCGCCGGUUCCGUUGGACUCGUACGGACGUCCUCUUCAUUUCUGGGGAAGUCUCGCUUGCUGUCUCGCCACCUAGAAGCCGCCAUGGAGCGGCGGAGCUGCUGCUGUCUAGUCGGUUUUCCGACGAUUUCUACACCGACGAGGGGCUAACUUAGGUGAGUCUGGUUCCUCUCCUCCUUCUGGUAGUGGCUAGGCAUAGAUUGAAAUAAGUUUUUGAGUUCUUGAGCCCCGAAUUUGCAGAUUGAAGGUUGAGUUCAUGGUGGUGUUUCAGGGCAUUUUCCGGCCGUUUCCGGUCAAAAUUGGUUGAAACCUCAGAUAUUAAAGUUGCUCUCCAUGCUUCAAUCUACAAGUUUCAUGUUGAAAGUUUCCCCAAAUUUUGAAGUUGGGGGUGGCGCGUGGGGCUCACUCGCCGCCAUCUGUGGUGGCGCAUGGGGGCGCGUCCGGGCAGUGUGGGGGUUUUGGUUGCCGUGUUAGCUAGUCCUUGUUAGUUACUAGUGUGUUGAUGUGUGUGAAGGCUAAGUGUUGUUUUGGUUUUGGUCGCUUAGGUGCUAUGUUGUUCUUGGUCUUUAUUAGGUCAUAAACUUUGAAAGUUUGAUCUUAGAGGUAGUAUGGUUUGUUGGUUGAGUGUCCAAUGACCUUAGGAGGUCUUGGAGGAAAGAUUGCCCUUCCUUGGGCAACCUUUAGGUUAAGGGUACUUUGUUCCUUGUUGAGAAUUUACUAAAGUUUUUAAUGGUGUAAUUUUUAGGUGUUUUGUGAGGUUGUGGUUAGCUUGACUCUUGUGUUUUGCGGAAACGCAACGGGAUUUUAGGUGAGUAACAUCUCACCAAGGUUCACUUUGGGACCAAUUAUUUAUGGUUAUCAUGAUGAUGAUUAUGAUGAUGAUUGUGAUGAUGAUGAUUAUGAUGAUGAUUAUGAUGAUGAUGAUGAUUAUGAUGAUAAAAUGAUGAUGAUGAUUAUGAUGAUUAUAAUUUAAAAAUUAUGUUUUUGUUUAUUUUAAAAUAUAUGAGCUUGAUCGCCAACGGCUUAUAGGUAAGUCAAAACAAGUUUUCCUAUUAUAUGAUUAUUUUUAAGGUUCAUGUGAUCGUAAUGUUUUUGGCUAUUGAUAGAUUAUUCUUGUGGGGAUAUCUAUGUUUGUUCGUAUAAAUAUAUCUAUGUGGAAAGAUAUAAUUUUUAUGAUGUGCUCCUUGUGUUGAUUGAUGAUGAUUUUAUUAUAUUGUGAUUUGUGGUUUAGAUAGUCAAACCAGGUUCCAAGCCUUUAAUCGGGUGAUUGGUUACGGUUAUGAUGAUUCUACUCUAUUAUGAUUUGUUGUUUAAAUAGUCAAACCGGGUUCCAAGCCUUUAAUCGGGUGAUUGGUUACGGUUAUGAUGAUUCUACUCUAUUAUGAUUUGUUGUUUAAAUAGUCAAACCGGGUUCCAAGCCUUUAAUCGGGUGAUUGGUUACUGUUAUGAUGCUAUUAUUAUUUUGUGAUUUGAUAUUGGACAGUCAAACUGGGUUCCAAGCCUUUGCCCGGGUGAUUGGUUACGGUUAGGAAUAGAGUUCUAGUCCGUCUGUCGGUGUAGGUCAUGGGAGGUACCUGAAGGUAUCUGGGACCCAUGGGUACACAAAUUGUUGUUGUAGGUCAUGAGAGGUAUUUAUAAAUAUCUGGAACUCAUGGGUACAUGUGUUUUUUGUAGGUCAUGGGAGAUACUUUAUUGGUAUCUGAGACUCAUGGAUACAUGUAUAUUUGUAAAAAUAUUGGUUAUGUGGUUUUAACAUUGUUCUUAAUUAUUGUCACUUAAAUUUCUUGUUUAAGUAUCUCCUGAACUAUGCUUAAUGCAGGAGAUUUUCAAUCUUAUUUGUGCGAUUUUUAGUGGAAUUCCUGAACUAUCCUUUUUGCAGGAUUCACUUAUGAUUUUGAUUGUUUUGGAAAUUGUUGUGUUUCUUAUUUACUCUCUUUUGAAUUUUCUUGUUUGAGGCGAUUCUUGAACUAAGUUCUAAAGCAAGAAUUACCGGUUUUAUCUUAAGUGAUAUUGGAUUAAGUUAUUUUUGAGAGUUACUCAUACGGGCUUUUUAGCUUACCGGGUUUGUUGUUUACAACCCGGUGCACCAAUUCAUGGUGUAGGGGUUAGACCUGCAGGUGAUGAUCAACAUGGUUGAGGCAGAGGCAUAGUAGCUGGGUUUUAGAUGAUGUACAUUUUAUUUGUAUAUUAUGGUAGUUUGUUUUUAAGCUCAUGUGAGCAUCUUAUUUUUACUAGACUUUUAAAGUUGAUGUAAUUAAAGAGAUGUAAUGUUUAACUCAGUUGUUGAGUUUGCUGACAUUUAUAUUUCCAGCAUUUGGGUUUAGUUUGUGAUUUGUUGAGCAGGUAUUGGAGUCUUAUUUUUGAGAUAUAUCAUGUCUAAAUUUUUGAAAAUUAUCCUUCGAAAAUUAGGAUGUGACAACAAAUGCUCUAAAAAGUUUUUUUAUUUGACAGUACUACCCCACCAAAAUCCCCACAUCUGUUCCAGAUCAUAACAAAUUUUUUUUGCAAGUAUGAAAACACUCUUGAUCACAGAAAAUUUCACUGGAAAAGAUGGAAUGUUCUAUGCAAUCCUAAAGAGAAUGGGGGACUUGUGUUUAGAAGCCUACCGAAUUUUAAGACUGCAAUGCUUUCAAAACAGGCAUGGAGGAUAGUUUCAGAACCAGAAUCACUUGUUGCGAGAAUACUUAAAGCUAAGUAUUUUCCAAAAUGUAGCUUUUGGGAGGCUAAAGAUCAUCAUGGACCUUCAUUUUCGUGGAGAAGAAUUUUUGGUACUAAAGAGUUACUUAGAGAUAAUUCUCACUGACAGGUUGGUGAUGGAACUGGGAUAAAAAUAUUCUCAGAUAAAUGGAUUCUUGGUUCGAUUACUGGUGCUCUAAGCGUACAGUCUAAUUCCAUUCACGAGGUGUCUUUUGUUAGUGAGUUGAUAGCAGAAGCAGGAGUAUGGAAUGAGGAAAAAGUUAGUUGUUUAUUUACUACUGCGGAGGCCACAUUGAUUUUGAUUUUGCAAAUUCCAUUAAGCCGGAGGCAAGUAAAUGAUGGUUAUGUUGGAAGCUUGCAAAAGAUGGAAACUUUUCGGUAAAGACUUCAUAUAAGUAUGCUUGUCAUAACUCUUCUAGUUUUCUCCAAUUAUUCUGUCAGUUGGAGUUCAAUUUUGGAGAAAGUUAUGGAAAACUAAUAUUCCUAACAAGGCUAAGAUUCAUACAUGGAGAGUGUGCCUUGACAUUCUACCUUCUUUGGAAGCAUUAUUGACAAAGAGAGUGGAUCUAGACUCUAGUGUCUGUGUUUUAUAUGAAUCAGAGAUGGAAACAACAUUGCACUUGUGUAGGGAUUGCUCUUUUACGAAAAGUGUGAUACAGGUCAGCCCGGUUUUAGACUCUAUGGGCACGUUUACUAACUUGGAAUGGAACUUAUCAUGAAUUGGUAUCAACAAGAAUCGGUAUCAACUAGAAUCGGUAUUGGAAUAUUUCAUUCCAUUCUACUGUUUACUUACCAUCAGGAAUCAAAACAGGAAUGAAAUUAAAUUAUGAUUGAUGUUGUUUACUUACCAUAUAGAAUCGGAAUUAAAACUAGUUUGAUUACUAAAAUACCCCUACAAGAAAGGAAGCUAGAUGUUUGCAAUUUUAUUAUUCUUCUUUUCAAGUGCACGUGUUCAAAGUUUUGCAUAACUAAUCACCUGAACCAACUAACAAUCUACUUCAUCAAUCACCAGGUUGUGAUAUCAUUCAUUAGUAACCACCGGAAAAAAAAAAAAAAAAAAAAAAGAGACAAAACACCAGAAGCUGAUGCACCAACAUCAUUCAGCAUAAUAUAACAAUAACAAAGUUCCAUAAUAUUCCAAAUAACUCGAAAUAUAGCCAUAGUACCAAUUCAGCAAACAAUAACCAUAAUACCAUACUUUUGACAUAACAUAAAUUGAAAGGUCUCAAGAAGUUAUUAUCUUCAAAACAAAGCAGCAACAAAGGGAAGAUUGCUCAAAUGACAGACUUAGUCUAAGCCUCCAUUCACUCUAAGCCACAUUGCAGAAAAGUGAUUAUGUAGUCUCUCUUUUCUUCAUCAGUCAUGGUAAAAAAGACCCUCAACCAGUCAUGCUCUUUAGAUAGUUUGUUAGUAAUGUGAAAUACCUGCACUGGAGUUAGGAAUUCCAUCUUCCGAAGCUCACCACAAAGUUUCCCUUGCAUAUCAGCAAGAUCCUUUUCUGUUGAGAGAACGUUAAUCAAGCCUUCAAACUUUGGAGCCAUUCCAGAAAUGGCUUCAGCGAUGACUCCAAACUUGUUUGCCAUAUCAUUUAAAGCUCUUGCCUUUCGAUGGGUUUUAUUUGGAGCAUUUGCUACAUCUUGGGCUGACCUCGGUUGUUUAGCACGUUGGUUGGUAUUUGGUGGUUGGGGAGGACUUGGUUGUGUAAAAGGCACAUAUUCAUUUUCCACUUCAUCAAGUCCUUGAUAUUCUGAUCCCACAUAUUGAGAUCCACCAUCAGUUGUCAUAUCCUCCAUUUGCUCGAAAAAAUCAUCAACUCGUACACCAGCUUGAUUUAUACUUGCAUCCUCUUCUCUAACUUCUUCUUCAUCAUCUUCAGCAUUUCCAGCAUUUGUUCCUAGUGCACCAUCUUUUCCAUAUAUCUCUCCAAGUGCGUAAUAAUGUUCAAACGGUUUGCCAUACAAACCUUUUGCCUCCUUUUUGUUCUACAAAAUAGAGAAAACACAAUACAAUGUUAUAAACUUACAAUUCAUAACCAAAAACCCUGAGUUAAAAUCUUGAGUUAACCAUAACCAAUUCAUUUACGUAUAGAUUUCAACAUAUAGACCUACUUUGUAGUAGGAGAAAGGUACCACAGCUAAAAGAAGCAUUACAUAUGUUACAAUGCAAAGAAGACUUACAGUGAGCACACCCAAUUUAUUUGAUAUACUAGUUUUCUGUAUCUAGUACCAUAUCACCAUAGUAAAGAAACAUGAAGCAAAAUAUAAUAAAAAGAAAUGUUACCUUUGCCCACUCAUCAAAUACCGUUCUUUCACAAACCAAUGUCUUUGUUUGUUCAUUCCAUCCAAAACCACUUUGAGAUAUUGCAUCAUCUAAUGCAACAAAUUUCCCUUUUUGUGUCUUUAUUCUUGAUUCAAUGUGUGGAUUUGCUAGUAUCCCAGAAGUUGGUAGUUUGGCUUCCAACAUAUUUUGCAAUUUCUAUAAAUAACUAUUUCUAAAGCCGGUAUCCACACGCCACUUCGGAUCACGGUAGAGUUCCAAUAAAGAAUCUACCAGCACAUCAUCUUCCUUAGAUGUCCAAAAACGCUUGUUUUUACCCCUUCCUCCUUUUUUCGGUUGGCUUGAAGUAGUUGGCGAACUCAUAUUCAGCCUACUGCAUAUAAGAAUGAAGAUCAUUAACUAUAAGUGAAGCAAAGCACAAGCAAAAUGAAGUAUAGACAAUAUAGUGUAAGAUUGACCAUGUAUAAGAGAAUCAGACACAACUGGAACAAAAACAGUAACAACCAAUUUCACAUAUAAAAUGACAAUGAAAUAAAACCAACAAAACAAAGAAAAAAAAGCCAAAAUCAUAACUCUAAUGAUCCUGUUUCAUUUGAAAGGUCUGAAAGAUCGAAACAAGUACAACAAAGUCAUUCAACAUUCAUAAUUAAUAAUAAUAGGCUAGUACUUGAAGCUAGUUGUAUUUUCUUUCACUACAACUACAUAUCUUAGGUCCUAUUUCGACGCCAUAUAUCCCACAUUUCAUUUGCAAGGUUUUGCCUCCACAUUGUCCACUCAUUUGAGGUCUCAACUGUAUCAAUAUAGUCAUCAUCUUCCAAGUUCUCAACUGCUGCCGGCUGUCUAUCAAAUUCUGCUUCUAUUGGAUCUAUAGCCAUCUCACUUCUAAUAAAAUUAUGGAGCAUGCAACACACUGAUAUUAUACGAUGUUGUGUCGUAAUAUCAUAGAAUGAUGGACUCCUAAGAAUUGCCCAACGCAUUUUCAGUAAACCAAAGCUCCUCUCAAUAACAUUCCGGGCACUUGAAUAUUUCAUGUUAAAAAAUUCUUCUGCUUUAUCAGGUCGGUAUCCAUUUCUCCACUCAUUGAGAUGAUACCUCUGUCCUCUAAAUGGUGCAAGAAAGCCAUUCCCAUUAGUAUAGCCAGCAUCUACUAAAUAGUAACAACCUUAAGAACUUUUAAUCCAUUUCUUCUACUCAGAGCAUCCUUAAGAACACGAGCAUCAUGUGCAGAACCCUCCCAUCCCGGUAAAACAUAUAUGAACCUCAAGUCUUGAGAGCAAGCUCCUAAAACAUUUGUUGCGAUCUCACUUUUUCUUGUUCUAUAUCUUGGCUUGUCUCGUUCCGGGACUUUCACCCUAAUAUGGGUUCCAUCCAAUGCUCCUAAACAAUUCUGCAAUAAUGUACAAACAAAAACAGUUUAAGACUUCUAUUAAUAAUAAAUGCAGGUAUUGCUGAAUAUUUUUGUAAAACCAGAUUAUGCGUACCUUAAACCACUUCCACCUAUUAUCUGUGGAGUUCUCGGGUACAGGUUCAAGUGUUUUCCAGAAGUCCUUUUGGCAUCGGAUCAUGGCUUUCAAACACUCAUGAAAGUAUUUACUUACAGUUCGUCCCGACCUAGUAAAGUACAAGGAUAUGCUACGAUUCUUCUUGUGGUGUGCAAGAAUAUUUAGAAACAUUGCUACCAUCUCCACUACAGACACAUUUCGGCUUGAUCUAAGUUGGCCUUUACUGAUCAGAAUUUGACACAAUUUAUGAAAGGAUUGUCUGUCCAUUCGUAGUUGGUCAAUACAUAUAGCAUCGCUCCAAUAAACUAGAGUAUACAAGUACUCCCGUCGUUUAUAGUCUUAUGCUUGGGGGUCGACUUUGUUGACGUUGUUUAGUACCAACUAAGUUGACAUAAGCAUAACCGGCAACACAUACAGCAAACAGUAUUCGAAGGUAGCCAAGCAAUGCAUUUAUGGUGACAACUAGUUUCCUCUUUGUAGACAAACUUAGACGAGCCAUUUAUCUACAUUAAGAAUAUCAUUGUGUAUAUGUGUAUUAUGAGAACACAUCCAAAUUGAUCAUAGGUGAGCACCAAAUAUAUUCAAACAAGCACGUUAUUAGCUUCCGAUACAGAAGCCACAAGGAAAAAAAAAACUACAAUUCACAGGUUCAAAACUCACAUGCCCAGUAGGUCCUGGGGAGAAAUGCUGCUCAAGUACACAGGUUUGUUACCUUCAACCUUUCUACAUUGCAUGUGCAACAAGACACAUUCUACGUGAUAUGAUACCUUCAACCAAUGUGUAUACUAGAAAAUGGAAGAGGACAUGCCCAUUAUGGACAGGGACAAAUAUUAAAUUUCUUUGAGGCAUUAACAUUGUGUUUUAGUUUAAUUCAAAACCAGUGAUUUUCAAUGUGUUUAUUUACUCCAUUUGGCUUAAAAGAAUGAGGUGUUUGUGCUUGUGGAUUUCGUAAUUCUUCCAAACUGUCAUGUUAGUAUGGUUUCGUUAAUUAUGGUUUUCUGAUAAUCUUACUAUGCAUGGCGACCCCGAAGAGCGAUUAACAUUUUGAUAAGGAGAGCUUCAUCUUUUAAUCAGGCAUUAUAAAGAUGGCUAGUUAUGGAGGUAAAUAUGAUAUACUAGCUAGAACCAAGAUAAAUAAGGUGGAGCUAAUGACAUCGUCUCCUAUUAUGAUUUCACUGAAAUAUGCUACUCACAGAAGAAUCAUCGUGAACAAGAAUUCAUAAACCAUAUAACGAAAAACAUAUUACCAACAGAGGGGAGAAAUUAACAUUGCAGCACAGAUAUGAACACUUGAGAAUGAAAUAGAACCGAACGAAACAAAGAGGAGACGGAGAAACAAAAACAAGUAAGCUUAUCGAUCACCAUGGAAGAGAGAAACUGACCUUGGAGUGCGCCGUCUGCUCUUCUAUUUUGUUGUUGUUGUUUUCUCAUUUUGUCGUCUUCUCUUCCAUAUAUAUAUCUAGGGUUGGGUAUUUUGGAAAUAUUAUAAUUAUGAGAGGAUAUUUUUGGAAGCAAAAGUUGAUUCCAUAAGCUUGAUUCUGAUACCCAAGGGGGGAGAUGGGUAUCAGAUUAGGGGGUCUAUAAGGAAUUGAUACCUGAUAAGCAAGUGGGACCCACACCCAUUCCAAUACCUUGACAGGUUAGUAAACACCGAAAUUCACCCAUCCCGAAAUCAAUUCCGCCACUUUUAAUUCCAUUCCAGGUUAGUAAACAUGCCCUAUAUGUCAAAGAUGGGGAGAAAUACAUGCUAAUUCGCUGGCCUGGUUGAUCCAAUGUGCAAAUGAUCUUUCUUUAUCAAAUUUUGGAGAGCUUUUGUUUGUGCUAUGGUGCAUUUGGAAGGAAAGGAAUGAAAGAGUAUGAAACCAAAAAAAGAGGUAUGCAAUUGAUAUCAGUAGUGAGGUUGUUGCCAGAUUUGCUGAAUUUAGGUUUCAUAACUUGAAGCCACAAACUCGCAGUAAAAGCUAUAGAAGCGUGAAGUGGAAAGCACUUCAUGUAGGCUUAUGGAAAAUAAAUACAGAUGAGCCUUUUCAUCAAUCUGAUAGAGGUGGUAGUGCAUGUUUUGUUGUUAGAGAUUUCUCGGGGAACAUGGUGGCAAGGGGUGCCUUUCCUCUCAGAGGCCAAUUUUCAGCUGAGCAUGUUGAGUUGCUGGCUUGUUGUAAGGCUGUAGAUUUUUCCAUUACACAAGGGUUUUUUCCUUUGAUACUGGAAACGGAUGCACAUAUGGUGCAACGCCAACUUGGGGCAGUAGGUAGUCCUAAUACAUUUCAUCUAGGACGUAUCUAUGAAGAUUUAUGGCGAAAGCUUGAGUUAGAAGGGAGUUGGAAAAUCUGCUAUACAAGGAGGGAUAGCAAUGUUGCUGCGCAUUCUAUGGCAGCAUAUGCAAGUACUUUGGAACAAGAAGUUUUCUUUUUCUCUGUACCUAGAUUCAUUCAGUCUGUUUUAACAGCUGAAGCAUGUACCAAAUAGUUUCUGCUUUCAAAUUUCAAUAAAGUGUUGUCUUCUGAUUUAUAUAUAUAUAUACUAGAGUUUGUAUAUAUAUAUAUAUAUACAGCCCUUCUCGGCUGCGGAUGUCCGCACCAACGGUUUUUGGUGCGGAUUUCCAUUUUUGCACCACUUUCCCAUCAAAUUUCCUCAUCUCCACUGACUAGUAUCUAGAUAAUAUUGUGUAGAUCAUCUCUGCAAAAUUUCAACCAAUUUGGUGAUCGUUAAGGCCCUCAAACUCUAGUUUUUCUGGUAUGAACACAACCGGACAGAAUUCAGUCCGUCCAUUUGUUUUUCGAGUUUGAGGGCCUUAACGAUNNNNNNNNNNNNNNNNNNNNUAUAUAUAUAUAUAUAUAUAUAUAUAUAUAUAUAUAUCGAAAUAAGGAGCUGCAUAGUUUUCAAGAAGGAUUUUUCACAGCAAAAUUGUCUAGACACUUUGAGAACUGUUAAAAUGAUGUUUGGACUCUCAUAGUUAAAAAUGUGAUACAUGGAAUUAAUUUAGUAUAUACAUGAUAUCUCCAAUUUCUGUUACGGAACCGUUAACUAUGACCAUAUAUUAUGCAUGUGACGCAAAAAGUAAGGCUAAAAAAGGCUUUCUGUUGAGGCUUAAGCAAUGAUCAAGAUUCAAAUUGCAUCAAAAUAAAAAUAUGAAAACUCGAUUUGUAUUGUGACCAGUUCACAUAACCAAAGUUUCUACGAUUACUAUUUCAUUUCAGUAGAAUUUUGAUCACAUUGAUGUGUUGUAGGCUUUGUAGCUAGAUUAUUAUUAUUUUUUUAUUUUUGAAAGGAUUAUUUUUUAGGGUAUUACUAUUAACACACCUCAUUUAUUUUCCUAUCCAUACAUUUUUAUUUUAUUUACAAACUUGCCACUUAAAUUUGAUUGAUGAUUGGUUUUCACCAUAUAUGACGUGUGUUAAUAACAAAAAAAAUGUGUGUUAAUAGCACCAUCUAUUUUUUAUUAAAACUACACAAUGUGUUGUGUAGACGUGUAGUUGCAACUUGCAAAAAAUAUUUAUCUACAUGGGUUAGAAAAGAGAGAACGUUCUACUAGCAAAGUAGCCAUGAUAUUGGAAAGUGUUAAUAAAUAAUCCUAGGAAUACAAUAAUCCCAUAUUCCGAUAUUCUUUUAAAAACGGAAGAGAAAAAGAAAAAAUUUGUUCUAUAAUUCUAUAAAUAUGAAGGAGUUGACUAAAAUGUCCGAAGUCCAGCGGGUAAGGGGAGCCUUUCUAGUGAGGACUCUUAAGUUGAGGACUAGUUGAGGACUUUUCGGUUUAUGGUUUAAAAGACCCAUUUUUCUUUCACAUUUUGACAUCUCAUCCGUUCAGUUUUUAGGUUUAUAUGAGUAAAUCAUUUCUACAAAUUUUCAGCCAAAUUGGUAUUCGUUAAGAUAACAAACUAUAUCAAAUUAAUAGAUAACCCAAAUCUGUCAAAUAUGAACCGUUCAAGUUCAUAAGUUAUAAAUGCCUUAACAAUUUUCAAUAUAGCUGAAAAUUUGGAGAAAUGAUCUACUCAUAAAUACCUAUAAACUGAACGGUUAAGAUGUAGAUAUAAGAUCGAAAUGUGGGAUAAGCCGAAAAGUCAUCACCAAGUUCUCAACUUAAGGGUCCUCAUUAGAAGGGCUUCCAACGAGUAAGUCCAAUAACUAAAAUGUCAUUAUUCUUUUGGGCAAGACCGUAUAUUACUUACCUUCUUCCUCUUUCAAUAUUCUGCUUCCUUUCAAUUUCUGGGUUUCCUACUCCCCUUUGGAAAGUAUAUAGUCAUAACCUAGUAAUUUUUUCCAUAUCCCAUUAGGAUCAGGGAGUUACAGACAUCCCCAUCCCAUUAGGAUUAGGGAGUUAACGACAUCUAUAAUUCUAUAUAACCACAACCCCUGUGGCCUUUGUGAAGCAUCACUACUCUCGAUCAUUAUUCUCCCAACGUACAAUUCAUACAAUCAAAGUUGUAGCCCACUUCAAAAUUAUGCGAGCAGGUACUUUACUCUGUAUUCCAUAUCAUCAGCUUCAUCACCAUCAUCCUUACCUAUUUCAGACCAUCGUCGAGUCCCGAGAUCCUAUGCAGAACCAUCUACUGCCCAGUUCGCAUCCUAUUGUUCUUCCAGUUCCCCGUUCCCAACGUAUUGUUUUUCCAGUCCCUGGCAUAAUCAAUCAGGUUUGGCACAAGAAUUUGGGGUACGAGUUCAAGAAAAUCCGCAACUUACUGUUCUGGCCCGACGAGAACCAUGCCCGUGACCGCUGCUUUCUUGCUUCUAUAGACACCGAAUUCCCCGGUGUACUUUCUACAUCCGACAAGGGCCGUCUCCAAGAUCCACACUACAAUUAUGAGCAGAUGAAGUACAAUGUGAACGCCACCAACAUAAUCCAACUGGGUUUGACUCUCUCGGACAGAUACGGAAACUUCUACACAUGGGAGUUCAAUUUCAGCGACUUUGAUAUCGAAACUGAUGAUCACAACGACGCCUCAAUUGAGCUUCUCAAGACUCACGGGAUCGAUUUCGAGAGAAACAAGAAGGAAGGCAUUCCUUCUUCUGAGUUUGCAGAGUUGUGUCGGCGCUCUGGGCUGGUAGGAAACAAUUCACAGAUACCUUUGACAUGGGUGGGUUUCCAGAGUUCUUAUGAUUUUGGCUUCUUCAGCAAGAUUCUCACUGGAAAAAAUUUGCCAGACGACAUGGAAGUGUUCAUGAGAUUCGUAAAGAUGUGCUUUGGGCCUAGCAUGUUUGACAUUAAACACAUGAUUACGAGUCUUGGUGCUGGACUUUAUGGAGGUUUGGAGAAGGUGGCAGAGAUGCUCGGGGUUGCUUGGGCAGCCGGGAAGAGUCACACGGCUGGUUCUGACAGUCUUUUGACAUUGAAAACCUUUAUCGAGCUUGUAUAUGUGUGUUUGGAGCCUGCAUAUUCUAAUACCAGCUGCAUUGAGACAUUGCAGAAUUUUACAAUGAAUAUGAGUUUUGCGAAUGCCAUGGCUCCUUGUGAUAUUGAUAAGGCCAAGGAAGUCUUUGAGUUUCUUAUAAGAGGGGAGGAAGAAAGAGAGAAACAGAACUAUGAUAAGUUGUAUAGUUGUAAAGGACUCAAGGGGCUUUGUAUAUAGUUUCGUAUUAGUUGACAAAUAAUGCAGAUUUUGUAAUUACUCUACUAUAUAUUUGUAUCUGUCUUCUGUUGCUGUAACUGUCAACCUAGAUUUUUAUCUAAUUUCUUCAAGUUGUAACCUACAGUUCUAACAGAGAAGAAUUAACUUAAACCUCAAUGAUCUAUACUUGUACGAAAAAAAAAAAAAACCUCAAUGAUCUAUUGCUUCUAACUUUGUAAAUUUAGUUAGAAAAUUUAAGCUUUUGCAAGGUUUCAAAUUGAACAGGAGGGUAUAACUCUGUAACUGUAGUGACUCCAGCAUGUUGUAAAACAGAGAAACCAGGACAAAAUUUUAAUUCGGUGGCAUGUCUGGAUCAUUGAGUUGUAAGAUCAUAUAUCAAAAAACAAAAAGAUAGCUAUAGAAUUUAUGCACAACGAAACCAGACAAGGCCAGCAAAUAAUGAGCAAAUCACAUUAACGGUAACAAUGUACAACCCAGAAAAAAGUGUCUUUUUGUGCAUUUGGGCAUUUUCCCAAAAAAGUGUGCAUAUGGACUUUCAGUCCUAAAAAACAAAAAAUUGAAAACAGAUCUGACACCUAACUUGUGACUUACCUAGGCAAAGUAAAAUAAUGUUCAGUUUGUAAACGCAUAAAAUUUAACGAGAAUAAUAAUUAUUAAAUUAUUCGGACGACGCAUGGGCCCAACAAAUUACAUACGUGGCUCGUGAGUUGGCAAAGUUGAAAAGUCGUUGAAAUGACAUGUGGCGACGUGCGAAUGGUCGGUCGACAACAAAACCUUAAAUCCCGACUAAAAUCAAAUAUUAAAUGUCGAUUGAAAAUCAGAUAUCAAUCAAAUUAAAUUGAUUAUCGAAAAAGGAAGUCGAACAUUUAAUCCAAAUCGGUUAUACCUUAUCGGUCGUAAUUAAAUCAAUCAAAUAAGACUGAUUGAUUUAAUUGUGUUAAAAUUAAUAAUUAAAUCAAUUAAUCAAAACUGAUUGAUUUAGUUACUACCGUUAAGGAAAUACAAUUGAUUUGGUGUUUUCAUUGCAUGUCAUAAACGGAGGCACGUUGACACUAUAAAUACCCCCUCUCAUAUCAAGAGAAGGACUUCCGGACAAAAGAGAAAAAUUACUCCCGAAAGCUCAGAAGUCUCCUAAACCGUUAAAGAAUCAUCAAACUGCCAAAUAGCCGAUUCUUCAUCAACCUUAAGCUUAGAAGUUGUCAAAUCCUGAAGAGUCACCAAGCUGCCAAAUAGCCGACAUCUUCACCAACUUCAAGACGAAGAACAAACCACCACGUGACACCUCUCGUGGCCCAAACCCGAUCAACAUCAAGCUUUUAUGGCCCUUGCUCAACCCUCGUCUUCAAGCCCUUUAACAAAUCAAAACUUCUACCAAGUUCUUCAACAAGCUCAUGGAGAAUCAACAAGCACCAAACACACGUGCCGAUUCAUCUACUAUCAAGGCCGAAGAACAUUCACCACGUGACACCGCUCGUGGCCUAAGUCCGAUCAAGAACAAGCCUCUACGGCCCUUGGUCAAUCAACUACUACAAAUCGUCAACAUGACAAGAAGUCCAAACUAAAACAUUUGAUUCAAGUUCAAGUGCUCGUAACCCUUGGAUCAAAUCGACGUCGAAGAUCGAAUCAAAAGAAAUUCUUGUAAAAGAAUACCCACAGAGAUUGUAACCCAUAAAUUCAUCAAUACAAAUAUUUUACUUUGUACACGUGUCUUUCUGUCAUUCGUUACAGGAAUUUUCAUGUUUACACAGUUAUAGCUAAACCUGCAGAUCAAAUUACUUGAGACUAGCUAGGUGCUAUCUUCAGUCAUAAUAAGCAUAGAGAUUAUCAUUCCUCACAUGAAGUUCUUUCACGAUUGAUGUCCUCAGCGCACACACUCAAGAAGUCAAGAUACCAUUUGCAUCAAUAUCAAAGCAAACAACAAUAGCAUAAAUACGGAAGUACAUUGUGAUAAUUAUACAUUUUUUUNNNNNNNNNNNNNNNNNNNNNNNNNNNNNNNNNNNNNNNNNNNNNNNNNNNNNNNNNNNNNNNNNNNNNNNNNNNNNNNNNNNNNNNNNNNNNNNNNNNNNNNNNNNNNNNNNNNNNNNNNNNNNNNNNNNNNNNNNNNNNNNNNNNNNNNNNNNNNNNNNNNNNNNNNNNNNNNNNNNNNNNNNNNNNNNNNNNNNNNNNNNNNNNNNNNNNNNNNNNNNNNNNNNNNNNNNNNNNNNNNNNNNNNNNNNNNNNNNNNNNNNNNNNNNNNNNNNNNNNNNNNNNNNNNNNNNNNNNNNUUUUGAGAAAAAUGAUUAAUGGAUAAACACCCGCAAAAGCGAGACCGAAAAACUACUAAAAAUAAAGAGCAUGUGUCUUCAACUGAAUCAAACAGGAAAGAGUGAAAUAAAACUAACAGCUCGUUAAUCUAUGAACCGAAAGCCCUACUUGAGACUAGCUAGGUGCUAUCUUCAGUCAUAAUAACCAUAGAGAUUAUCAUUCCUCACAUGAAGUUCUUUCAUGAUUGAUGUCCUCAGCGCACACACUCAAGAAGUCAAGAUACCAUUUGCAUCAAUAUCAAAGCAAACAACAAUAGCAUAAAUACGGAAGUACAUUGUGAUAAUUAUACUUUUUUUUUUUUGGUAGAAAAAUGAUUAAUGGAUAAGCCCAAUUAUAAACACCCGCAAAAGCGAGACCGAAAAACUACUAAAAAUAAAGAGCAUGUGUCUUCAACUCAAUCAAACAAGAAAGAGUGAAAUAAAACUAACAGCUCGUUAAUCUAUGAACCGAAGGCCCUACAAGCAAAAAAGGAAAUGCAACAAUACUAACUAAUCUACCACACCCACCACUCAUACUAGCUAACAUUGUCGUCGUUGUCACCGCUAGCAACCGUGAAAUAAUGAGGAGUGUUAAAUCAGAACACUAUGCCAAUUAACUAAUGUCAAUCAAAUGUCAAAUCACAAAUCAUAUGGAAAUUCACGACCCAGAGGAAGUGCUCCCUCAAAUCAACACCAUACAAACCAUGAUUGACAUCCGAGUCACGAGAGAGAAAGAGGUUGACGAGAGAGGACCAAGAACCGUAUCCAAGAGUCAAAUCCAACGAAAAUGGGGGGAGGGGGGUGGGGGUGAUAAACCCACACGUGAGCACCCAUAAUCUAAUAAGUAAGUGUAAAAUUGUUCUUUAGGCGUGUAGCCCCACAAACUCACAUGAAGGUAUACAAUGGUUGUAUACGGGUAGUUUUGGUGUUGAAAAACCAAUAAUCUAGAAAAAAAAAUUGGGAUCGAUAGACACCGGUUUGAGGAACUGAGUUCUCUCAUGCUGGACCAAGCUAGAAUAAUGCACAUAGGGAUAAAAAUACACCACAAGGAUGACAAGUGCCCACAAACAUGGAGCCCGAUAUAACGUAAAGCUAAAAGAAACAACAAAAUUAGGAUAUAUACCUCAUAUAGGCCUAUAACCCAGUCCCAGGUCAAGACCCAGACCCAGGCCCUAAGCACAUGAGGUCAAAACCCUAAUGGAUGAAACCAAGCCCAAUAAACCAAGGUAGCAAUCCCAUGCUUCACCCUCUCAAUAUAUCACAAACCUCCGCUGCAUCAGAUUCGGCCCUCCACCACCGUGCAUUCCACCAUGUCGUCGGUCUCCUACCACCGGCGUGCGCCUAUAGUUCCCACCACAUACCCAGCAGCCUACAAGAAUCGGAGACAUACUUCAAAGCAAUAUCAAAUGAAACACUGACGCCGACCCGACCGCUAACCUCCGAGUAGAGCCUCACCAAUCCUGCAAUCCCUCAUACUCUGAUCUAUCCGCCUACCGUGCCAACUUCAAUGAUGCCGCAGCCACCCAAAACUAGAUAGGACGAAAACACGAGAUCUGCCUCCAUUCUGACCUCUGAACCACAGAUCCACCCACAUCACAACCGUAGCAACCCCGUCCGACCACGCACAUCCAGUGUCGGCUUGGCCAGCAGCCGAGACCAGCGUCGCGGCGCAGUCGAAUGAGAGCAGGAGAGCACGAAUGAAAUGUGAAGUUACGCACGUGAGGAACGUUCUGGAAAAGGGAAAGGAAAAGUUAAUAUGUCUAUUUUUUUCAAUUAGAUACUACCAAUAAUCAUACAUUUAAUUUAGAAAGUCUUCAUCUUCGGUUCUACAAUUUGUUUGAAGUUGUAUCAUCGAGUAUUUAGCACGGACUAUAUCAUUUUUAUCAAGGUAAAACACGUCACAUAAAUGCAUGGUCACCAACAAAUUAAUUUGAUCAUCUCAAAAAGCCAAUUUCCACUCAUUAGCUUUGUAUGUACGGUAUCCAUUGCUAUGAUCUAUUGAUGAUCAUAUACAUUUUGGGAGGUUCAAGUUGCACCUCCAAAUUUGCUAAGUGGUACUGUCAUUGCUUAGUAUACCUCCAUUGUACUUUUUAACAUUUUUAAAACCCUAAGUAUACCUCUUUACUAUUACCCAAAUAUGUUAAAAAGUACAAUGGAGGUAUACUUACAACACGUUUGGUAUUCAUGAAUGUCAUAGCCAGGACUAAUUCCUUAAGCAGUCCAAGAUUUUUGAUGCUUGGUUUAUGCUAUACAAAUACUUGACCCAAGUGUGGUGCAGCUCAUGACUAAAGAGUAGAAUAGUUCUAACAGUGAUAUCUCAUGUUUGAUGAUGUCCGGGGCUAAAUUUUAUGGACUCAAAAACAUCUUAUAACCUUACUUUUUAAUAAACAAAUGGAUUUGAAACAAUUGUUCAUGAUCUUACAUUUUGAAUUAAUGAGAUCAAAGUGAAAACUGUUCACUUACACUUUCAUAGAUUAGUAAGUCACCACAACCAAAAUAAUAGUCACAAUAGUUUAUACACAUUGACAAGUCCACCAAUUAAUACAAAAAUGAAAUUUGAACUCUCAUCUAGCAUUUCACAUCAACAAAGUAUAAAACCAUGAAUGCUAAUCUAGCAACUACAAAAUGCAAUCUAGAACAGACAGUCCCAUAUUCCAGAUGAUUUUCAUUGCCUCAAUUUGGUCUAGAACAAAGCAUAAGGUCAUUAGCUUGGUGUACUUAUCAAGUAUUGAUAUGAGACAAAGGAACUGAGCUAUAUACUAGAUGAUUAAAACUAGACAAGCUUAUCACAGUCUUUGUUUAAAUUUGAAACUAAGACAAGUGCACUGAACAUCUACAAGUCUCAAAUAGCCAUAUUGAAAUGAAAGCUGCAAAAAAUGGACAUCAUACAUAUUGCCAUGGGAUUUGAGCAUAUCUCUUUUUCUCAUACGUUCCGGGAAGCAAACCGCGUUGCAGAUGCUAUCACCAACCAGAGUCAUGUUUUUGACCAUCCUCAGUCUUGAGAUUUAAAUUUUUCUCAGCCGGUUGCUACUGCUUUAAAUUUCGACCUCUUUGGAGUUGAUUGUUCUAGAGGCUUCUCCUUGUAGUUUAAGUCUUUUAGCAUUAAAAAAAUAAAAAAUAAAAAAAGCUGCAAAAAAUGAAUCAUAUAUACAUAUGCCACCAUAUAUACCAUUAUCAAAUUGAAUACACCACCAUAUGCAUAUUCAAAAGAUGUUUAUUCCUUACAGCUUUAAAAAUUCACAGGAGCUAGGAAAGAUAGUUAAGAACACAGACCAUUUUCUCAUCGAAAAAAAAAACACAGACCAUUUCAUUCACUUCCUAAAGGUAGCUUGUCAAACAUGUGUUAAGACGACAACUCCCCCAAGCUAGAUCCCCUAGCACAGCCAGCAAGCAGAUUUUCGACAUGUCAUCACACACAUCUAACAUAGAUAAGCAAGGAAUAAGUAAUCUACUGUCUUUCCCACACAACAUAAAAGCUGCUAGGUAUCAUAUGUAUUUAUGAAUCCAUUAAAGCUUUAUGUAGCAAUAAUCAUGAUUCAUACACAUAGCAGCAAGCCAGCAACAAAAACUAAGGACAAUGGAUACAUCUAUAGAUUAGCUAACUUGUUUAACUAGAAAUUUUAUUUCAUUAUCCACAGAUCCACACAACAUAAAAUCCUGGACAUUAAAAACAUAUCCUUUUGAUAUCAAGCUUUUAAAAUAGCAAUAGGACAUUGGUAAUGCAAAAUCUACAAACCAAAUAGCAUGUCAAUAUAACAUUUCCAUAUAAUUUCAGGUGGCUUGAACACUCAAUCAAGCAUUGAUAAAACAAAAUGAAUGAGCAUAUUUCUUUGGUAUCUUGUUUUGUAUCUAGUUUAAUCUUCUGCUAAGCUCAUUAAAAUAAGUGAGCUAAUUGUCUAACGUAAUGGUGCAUUGUUGCCAUUCUGGACUGAGUUUUAUCAAUGAAAUAUUUUCUACACUAUUGCUUAGGGUCUGUGCUUUUCAAAGUUGUAUGUUGGUAGUGUUUGAAGUGAGGAAAAAAAAUCAGAACAGAAAAACAAACACAAACAACAAAUUUCUGCUUUUCCAAUCUUCCAUGAGUGUGCCUCAAUCUCAUCUAGUCAGGCUAGAUUAGGAUUGGAUUUGCACCAAACAUAGUCUUUAGGUGUUGUAAUACUAACUUGGUAACCUAUCACUAUAUGCACGGAAUUAGAAUUCAUUUAACUAGUAUUAGACCAAGACACACACAAAGUGAAUAAAAUGACAUUUUUAAGAAUUGCAUGGCUAAAGUAUCGAUUGAAUCAAAGAUCCAAAACCAAAGUGAUUAAUUUUUUUCAGAAAAAAAGAAAAAAAAAGACCAAAAAAAAAGUUCUAGGGGACUCAGCGCAAUUUGGGUAAUGUAUUAGGACACACCUUGCAAUAUAGCAAUUCCUAGCCUUUGAUCUGAAAUCUGUUUCGACCAAGGAAGAAAAAAUCGAAACUUUCGGCGAUAUUUCGCCAAAACUUUCGAUUUUUCACCUAGCAAUAUAUCUUUCCCCUCUCAAGCAUUUCUCGUUUGAAACUUCCGAUAUUUCCUGAUAUUUCUCAAUAUUUCCCGAUAUUUCCGAAAAAUCUCAAUAUUUCCGAUAUUUCCAACCAAUACUAGAAAAUUUUGUACCUCGUAGGUCUUCUACGUGGUUUUAAAGCACUCAUGUAAUUCUAUGUGAAAUGUAUCAUAUGUAUAUAAGGCAUGCUGGCCUAGCCUUCCUUUAGGUUUCCAGCCAUUAAAAAAAUAUAAAAUGUUUAAAGUAAACUUUUAAGAAUUAUUAACGGUUCAGCCAGUGGCGGAGCCAGGAAUUAAACUUAGGGGGGGUUCAUAUAUAGGGUACCGAUCAUUAUAAAAUAAAAAAUAAAAAAAUACCGAUCAUUCGGUCGUAUAAGUAAAUUAUUAUAUCAUAAGUUAAAUAUUGAAAACACAAUAAUAUAACACUAAUAUAAAAUUAUUAAUCAAUAGAAUCAAUUAAAAAUAAAAUUCACUGAGUUCAGAAUUUUCAAACAUUUUUCAUUUUUCAUUUAGCGGUAAACCACUUAGAAAUAGUCAUCUAUAUGGAGAUACUCAAGUAGGGAUUGCAAAUCCUAGCAAAUAAAAGUAGAACGUUGUAAUUCAUUAUGAGAGUAAUCACUUAAUGACGUAAAGUAUUCUUGUUAAAUUUUACUUUGACUUUCUAGUUUCUAAUAAUUAUUAAGUACUUUUUUCUAAAGGGUGCGUCUAUUGCCACCCCACAAACCAUUUUGCUCACCCCACAUUCUCUUCACACCCCACUCAUAUAAUUUUAAUUGUAAGUCUACUUUGUUCACCCAUUAACAAUACCUAAAAACCUAUUUUCUCAAUUCUACUUUGUUCACCCUACAUUCUCUUCAUAUAUUUNNNNNNNNNNNNNNNNNNNNNNNNNNNNNNNNNNNNNNNNNNNNNNNNNNNNNNNNNNNNNNNNNNNNNNNNNNNNNNNNNNNNNNNNNNNNNNNNNNNNNNNNNNNNNNNNNNNNNNNNNNNNNNNNNNNNNNNNNNNNNNNNNNNNNNNNNNNNNNNNNNNNNNNNNNNNNNNNNNNNNNNNNNNNNNNNNNNNNNNNNNNNNNNNNNNNNNNNNNNNNNNNNNNNNNNNNNNNNNNNNNNNNNNNNNNNNNNNNNNNNNNNNNNNNNNNNNNNNNNNNNNNNNNNNNNNNNNNNNNNNNNNNNNNNNNNNNNNNNNNNNNNNNNNNNNNNNNNNNNNNNNNNNNNNNNNNNNNNNNNNNNNNNNNNNNNNNNNNNNNNNNNNNNNNNNNNNNNNNNNNNNNNNNNNNNNNNNNNNNNNNNNNNNNNNNNNNNNNNNNNNNNNNNNNNNNNNNNNNNNNNNNNNNNNNNNNNNNNNNNNNNNNNNNNNNNNNNNNNNNNNNNNNNNNNNNNNNNNNNNNNNNNNNNNNNNNNNNNNNNNNNNNNNNNNNNNNNNNNNNNNNNNNNNNNNNNNNNNNNNNNNNNNNNNNNNNNNNNNNNNNNNNNNNNNNNNNNNNNNNNNNNNNNNNNNNNNNNNNNNNNNNNNNNNNNNNNNNNNNNNNNNNNNNNNNNNNNNNNNNNNNNNNNNNNNNNNNNNNNNNNNNNNNNNNNNNNNNNNNNNNNNNNNNNNNNNNNNCUCUCUCUCUCUCUCUCUCUCNCUCUCUCUCUCUCUCUCUCUCUCUCUCUCUCUCUCUCUCUCUCUCUCUCUCUCUCUCUCUCUCUCAUUUCCAAGUCACAAUGUCUCACUCCCUCCAUCUCCUCACCCAAACCACCUUAACCUUCCCCAAUCCCAAACCCUGCUCCUCCUUAUUCCUCGCCCCCUUCUCUGCUCCCAACCGUCGCUCUCCUACCGCCUUCCCUUCACUCUCCGUCAAAGCCUCCGCCGCCGGUUCCAAUCAAACCCCCUCCGUCCUCGUCUCCGCCAACCGCACCUCCUUUGGCGUUGUCCUCUCCCCUUCUCCCGACUACUUCUCCUCCACCUCUAUCGAGGUCGACACCGUCAUCGAGGCCGAGCUCAAGGAGAAUGGAUUCCGCACCAAGCUCAUCUGCACCAUCGGCCCCACCUCCGUAGGGUCCGACCAGCUCAAGGCGCUCGCCGCCAGCAGCAUGAACGUCGCGAGGCUCAACAUGUGCCACAACACGCGCGACUGGCACCGCGACGUCAUCCAUUGCUGGUGGUAGGGGUGGAUGAAGACCGGUGAUGAAGAUGGUGCAGACCUCGUCGUUGGCGGGACAGUUGAGGUUGUCAACGAGGUGGUGAGGAGGAGGAGGAGGAGGUGGAGGCGCGGUGGCGACGACGGCUGGGGGAGGAGGAGGGGCUGCCGCCGGGGCCCAUUACUGGUGGUAGGGGUGGAUGGCGGUGCCGACCAUGUGGUGGAUUUGGAGGCAAAGCCCUAAACAGGGGCAGUAAGUGGGGGGGGGGGAGAGGAGAGAGAGAGAGAGAGAGAGGGUAAAAGAUUAACAAAGGCUAUUUUAAUAAUUUUGGUCGAGAUUGAUGUCAUUUUAGAAGUUUAGAGAUGAAACUGAUUAAAAAAAAAAAAGAGGUAUCGGACUGAUAUUCGACCUAAAGUUCAGGGAAGUAAACUGAAAUUUUUCUUAUUUUUUAUUAUAAAGAGGAUGAUAAUCACGUGGAUAGCUAGGGAUUCAUUAUCUUAUUGUUUCUAUAACGUGGCGUCCGAUGGGUUGCUUUGUUUUCGAAAGGAUCUGAGGGGGGUUCAUUAUGAAAACACACCUAUAUAUACCAUUAGUUGAUUAAAGAUUACCUACUGUCACCGUAUCUGCAGAAAAGCUGACAGGGGUCCGGACCUCGUCAGGCCGGACUGUAGCUUCGCCCUUAGGUUCAGCACCAACUUUUUCACCUUAACUUACUAUAAUUCCCUAUAGAUCAAUGUUUAUUCAAGGUUUUCAUUUCAAAUAUAAUACAUAAUAUAGAAAACAAACAUCUCUUAAAGUUUGGUUUAAAAUUUUCUCUUUUUUUUUCAAAUUUCUGUCUAUUUUUUUAUUUUUUUUACUACAAUCGAUAUUUCUCCAAAAUUUCAUAAUAAUUUCGACCCCCUUUUCUAUCAAGAGAUUGGAAUAAUAAUUUCGACCCAUCAGACUAUUCCUUUGUUUCGAGUCCAAUUUCAUUGCUAGCCCAUGCUUAUCCUUUAUGGCACGUGAGGUGGAGAAAAGAAAAUACUUGGUUAUUAUGUUAUCACAUUUUUCAUUCGAGUUUCUAAGUAUCAGAUGAGAUUGUUUUACAAUUAUAGAUAUCACUAGUUCUGUUCAGCCAGCAGUAAGGAAAAUUCUUUGUUCUUUUUUAGCUAUGACUCACAAUAGUUCUCCAAGGGUAAGAUGAUCCAUUUUGGGUUCAUAGCUGAGGCGUAACAGCUUGAUGAGAAAAGUUAACGGUGAAAUUUUAGUUUCUUGGAGAGUGUAAUUUUAAAACCUCAGGUCUAUUUAUUCUAUCGUUAGGGAAGAAUAAAGAUUGUCAGUUUCGUAAACCAUUAAAGAUUAGUUUUAGAUAGAUUGAUAUUUUGAUUACAUAACCAGUAAGAAGUCAACAAUGGCGGUAAAUAGAAAUAGAAAGUUGGCAUAUAAUAUGAAGAUGUCUUUCAGUUUUCUCGUGGUAGUUAUAUUGUGCAGUUGUAGGUUGUAUACAUUGUUCAACUUAGUGUUGUCAAGUUGUGUUUUGAACUCUUGACUCUAGAGAUCCAUCUUUGGUUAUAAAAAAGAAAAAAUGACGAAUAUUUCUUCAACAGCCUAGAUGAUAUUGAAAUAUCCCUAAUGUUGAUGAUGGCUCAAGAAAACUUAGUGAAUCCUCACCAAGUUGAACAAGAUAAGUGAGCAUAAUGCUAUCAGGUUGUGUGAUUGACCGACUAUCUUUUGCAUGACGAUUAUCUGUUCUGAUCAUUAUUUUUGCAUCUCUUUGUCAGUAAAUUAAUUGUAUGGCAAUAUAUAUACUUCAGUUGAUACAGCUGAAUUGGAAUACAUGACCUGUUUCAGUCAGCUUGCUAUAUACAAUUGUAGUUUCUUUGGAGUGACUUCUUUUAUUCUGUCUUUAUUAGUAUCUUUACUGGAAUUCGUAUAGACAAACAAGUAAUUAUGUGGAACCUUUUUGUGACUCAAAUUAGCAUUGUAUUGAUUACUACACCGAUGAAUACUGCAUCCUUCAUGGACACAAGCAGAUAAUGGACCUGUCACAUGGAUUGUCACAGCAAUUCCCAAGAGGAAGAGCACUUGCCAGGUGGGCCAUGGAAAUGGGCUUACCAAGAAGGAAGAGAUCUUGCCCAACUAUGACUUCCAUCCCAUCCGUCCCAUCACUGGAGUCUCCUUGCACUCCCAAAAUUAUGAUGCUACACCUAAUCUUGGAGGUGGAGGAGUAUCCACUAGGUCCAAGUCCAACACCAAUGCCCCUGUCAGAGUAAUUAACCUCUCUCUGAAUCUCAUUCUUCAUGGUGCUAGUUUCUUACUUCUGUGUGCAAGAUUUUGCAUAAUCCAUUUAUCUAUUAACUUGAUCAAAAUUUUGUAUGUUAUGCUUGAGUAAGUUGCAAUUAAAUGUUUAGAUCUAGAGAACUGUACUGAAUUUCCCUGAGGGCAGUGUGUGAAUUAGCAUGAUAGUUUUUAACUCUUGUUUCCAUUUAUAUUAUUGUUUAAGAGUAGACUGACUGAAGAUUAUGCCUUUGAGCGUAAUAAUGUUUACCUUGGUGGAUUUUUAGUUUUUUACAUAUGUUUGUAAAAAUGUAAAAGGGUAGGGACCAAAAAUUAUAGGAUCUUAUGGUGAUUGUUCUACCCCCUUAUUUUCUUUUCUAUAUGGCUGUGCUUGCUAGAGAUCGAGUAGGCAUCAUUGAUACUUAACUCUAUAUGAGCUUGACAUGUACCUCACUUCCACUAGAUGGUGAUAGUCUGACCCAUUUUUAUGUUUUAUACAUAAUUAUGGUUUUGUGGAUUCCCUUGAACCAGCAAAAGAUAUUGUGGAGAAGGACCGAAAUGCUCCUGAUGCUACAGUUAUAUCAGAGAUUGACCAGACCAUGAAGAAGUAUGCUGAUAAUUUACUUCAAGUUAUGGAAGGUAUUAGUGCACGACUAACACAACUUAAGAGCAGAACCUGCCACCUUGAGAAUUCUCUGGAUGAUUUGAAGGUAUCUGUGGGAAACAAUGAUGGAAAUGCUGAUGGAAAGAUGAGACAAUUGGAGAAUAUUCUUAGAGAUGUAUGUUGCUACUUUACCUUCUUAUUGCCGUGGACUUGUUUUGGCUGCCUUUGGCUGUCUAGUAAAAGAAACUGUUUGUUUUAUUUUUACCUUUUUAAUUAUUGAGUUUAAUGCUGCUUUUCCAUUAUCACCUACUCAUUUGGUUUUUGUUUACAUCUCGCACAGGUGCAAACAGCAAGUGUUCAGGAUUUGAAGGAUAAGCAAUCAAUAGUCGAGGCUCAGUUGCAGCUUGGGAAGAUACAGAUUUCCAAUCCCAAGGUAGAUCCUCAAUUGGAAUCUCGGAAUGCUUUGAAUGUGGAUUCUGGGCAGACAGUAGCCUCUGCUCCUCAACAAUCUUACCAACAGCUUCCUGCUGUGAACGUUCCACCAUCACUUCCUGCUGUCUCUCCACCAAAUGCCCCUCCACCGCCUAUGCUCCAAAGCAUACCACCUUCAAUUCAGCAUCCAAAUCAGUACUCCCAGAGUCAGAUCCCUCAUGUUCCUCAACGAGACCCCUAUUUCCCAGCUGCGCCUGGUCAAACUCAAGAAACUCCAAAUCAGCAAUACCAAUUACCUGCAGGUCAGUAGUCACUCUCGCCUCCUAUGGUACCUCCACAUCAACAAUUUCAACCUACCAGUCAACCACAGUAUCCUCAGCCACCGCCCCAGCUUCCUCAACAACACCAUUCACUUCCACCUGUUAAUCACUCUCAUGUCCAGCCUACCCUAGGCCACCAUGCUGAAGAAACUCAUUAUGUUCCUUCCCAGACUUACCCACCCAGUCUUCGCCAGCCACCUUCUCAGACGCCUACUGGGCUCCCUCCCUCCCAACAAUACUAUAAUCCAACAUCCAAUGUAUAUGAACCACCAUCUAGCAGACCUAAUUCAGGGUUUUCCUCUGGGUAUGGCCCUCCAUCUGGGCUUAAGGAACCAUAUCAUUAUGGUGGAUCACCUUCACAAUAUGGUGGUACCUCCUCAAUGAAGCCACAACUCUCAUCUGCUACUUCUCAAAGUCAAAGUGGAGGAAGUGGUUACCCACAGCUCCCAACAGCUAGGGUAUUACCACAUGUAGUGCCUACCCCUUCUGGUGUAAGUGAUCGAUCAGGUUCUGCUGGGACUGGAAACAAGGUUCCUAUUGAUGAUGUCUUGACAGAGUGACAAGCAUGGGCUUCCCAAGAGACCAUGUGAGGGCGACAGUUCAGAAGCUGACAGACAAUGGUCAGGCGGUUGACCUGAAUGUGGUGCUGGAUAAGCUGAUGAAUGAUGGGGAUGUCCAGCCACCUAGAGGUUGGUUUGGUCGGUAUUGUGUGUGCUUGGUACCGAGUCUUCAGAUUGAUGUAUAGGAAGUAUCAACGUGUUUCUAGUUUUUUUUCAACUGACAUAUGGAUUGGUAUUAGGAGUAUCCUGUUCUCUCGCUUCAUUAUAUUUCUAUUUGAGUUUUACAGUGCUUGCACUUGGUUUUAACCUAUUUUAUUUCGGCUUUGCCUAGCUCUCCCGAUUUUCAUCUCACUUGUGUAUUUACUCAUAAUAAUUGAAAGUGGAUUACUGCAUCAUUUUUCUUCUUUAGAAUUGUGUUUGGGACCUUGGGCGCAAUGUAGAUUUUCCUUUGGGCACUUUCAGCAUUUGCAGACGCUUUGACACCAAUCAAUGUUUCACAAACGGUUCCCUAGUGGUACGCUUCAUAAAUGCUUGAUCCCUAAAUAAGAACUUAAGUAGCAAUGCUCUCACUUGUGACAAAUUGUUGUCCAGGGCAACCUGAUCACAUGGUGAAGGACAUUACAUUUAGUUUUACCCUUGCAUUAGAGGUAAAAAGUGGGAUACAACAGUACAAGUGGUUAAGGACUAUUGAGUAUCAAGGAUAUUUCGACGGUCUAAAAAAUAGAUAUUUCAUGGAAAUAUCUUUUGCUAUCCUUUUAAAAAUAACAUUGGAUAGAUUGUUAAACUUAUGAAGAGGUAUAUACACACGAAUGUACAUAAUUAAUUAUAAGACAUCUCAACAAAGAUGGUUGAGGAGUUUAGGUACACCCUUGGGGUCCAAGUUUGAGUAUCCACAGCUAAUCAGCUAUGUUCGUCUGUGCAAAUUUGUUAAUUAAUAUGUCAAUAUCAAAGAUUCUCUUAGUACCUCUUUAAACAUCGAAAUCCUGAAAAAUGAAAAUAUGGUCCAUUUUUCGAGAAUAUUUUUCACCACUUGAUGUGAUAAUAUCGGUUAAGAUGGAGUGGUAAAAUCAUUGAAAUGGAGACAUAAAAUUAUUGGAGGGAUUCAAAACGUAUAGGCCUCAUCGUGAGCUAAGCCAUGACCGGUCGUACCUUAAAUUUUAGGGCUUAAGAUAAGGCCGGGUAGGGCUUUAACCAAGUUAACAAAAUUUAGAGCAAGUUAACCCGUUGGGUCAAAAUGUCAAGGUCACUGGGUCAAGACACUGUUCAUUGCCACUAGACCUGUGUUUCCACCCGUUCUAUUUCUUAAUCGGUCAAUUACUGUUUAUUAAAUUUUUUAUUAAUUUAUUUAUCAUAAAAUUGAAAUAUAUUUGAUGUGUGUAGAUGAUAAUAAUGGACACUACCAAUAUAUUAAUUAGUACUUUAAUUCAUUCUCAAGUAGAGGUUACUGUACAUAGAAAAUCAUUUCAAUGUCGUACGUACAGAGCGCGGAUAAUAUCCUCAUUACAACCAUUCAAGCUCUUAAAAAAAACAAGUCUAUAUUCUAGAAAAUUAAAGAUUAGAUUAUAGGCCAUGUUCUAAAUUUAAAUACCUCUUUACCCUAGAGCUAGGGUUAGGAGGAGGCUUAGGCACCUUCUCAAAACUUGACUUAUGUUUCUCGUUUGACUUCAGACGCUCUUGGAUCUAGAUUUCAAGCACCAAAAUUUAUUGCAAAGCUUCUUCAUGUUGGGGAACAAAGGUGGUUCAAGAUUGAGAGGCUUCGCAACCAAAUAGGACCGAAAAGCCCUAUGUUUCGCACGCACCCAAAAAGGAUGCGGAUAUCAUGAUGAUUUUUGAUGGAGUAAAGAUAGGUUCUGAGAUGGAGAUAGAGUUCUUGAGGGAGAAGAUUUGGUGAGACGGAGCCAUUGGCUUUGAUUGCGCACAAGAAAGAGGAAAUGAUGUUUAUGGUUUUGGUGCACAAGGGGUCGUUUAGGGUUUGGUGGCUACAGACACGACGGCCUUAGGGUUUCUAAGAGCAAUUCACAAUUAUUUUUUUUAAUUAAAGGUAUUUCAUUCCACUCAAAUAGAGGUCACAUCAUGAAUCGAUCCAUUACCUUGUAGGGUAAAUAAGAUCAUAUGAUUCAUGUUGAUUUUUAGGACAUAGAUGAUUUGAUCUUAUUUAGCGAUGGAGGCACCUCACCUUGCUUUUCAGAACGCGGCUUCUUGUUCCUGCUUCCAAGAAGACGCCUAAUCUUCCUCUUAUAUGUCACUGGACUAGCAGCUGGAACCUUUACCAAUUCACCAAAAUGAAGCGGAAAAUUCUCGGAUUCCAGCCCAACAACCUCUACUAAAGAAGACUUGGAAUUAAUGCCUAGAUCCAGCCUAACCCUUUUUUCAGGCCCACACAUCUUUAGAGGCCCAAAAACCUCAGGCCCAGUCAACUUUGGUCCAACCCAAUUCACAGCACUCAACCCCUACCUGAAAUUAAGGUUUCCUUCAGAAGAAAACCGAGGAAGAUUCGGAUGCCAUUAAUUACCGCUGCCCAGCUUCACCAGUGCAACCUUCCCAAAUCUGCAACCUCUCCCAGGCCCCUCCAGCACCUUCUCCGGCAACCCCACCCUCUUGGCCAGGAUGGGGAGACUUAGAUCCGGUGUGUCUGAAACCACCAAAGGCAGGGCCGCCAUCUCAGCGAUCUCUAAACCCUUAUCAAAAGCUCCACCAUCAUAAUUAAAGAAGCCACAUGCCCCACAUAUGCCAUGACAUUUCUCAAAGCUAAGCUCUAGCUCCACCGCUAUGGCAGAUGAGAACUCAAAAGUUUGACAUUUCCAAAUCCGCCGUCGAACAUCAUGAAUGAGCAUGAUCUUUUGGAUUGGCUCCUUGUGCAUUAGUGCUCUUUGAUCCGCCCUAACAAACUGACCAAAAGCAUUCCUAAUUCGGGUUAGGGCAUUCAGGUUGAACAUAGCAACGCGCAAACACAACAACCCAAACCUUCUAGAAACGCACCUAUGCCGCCAUCUCAACGAGAUCUCCAACACCAUCAUAAUCUGCUAAGAGUAGCAUGACAUUAUUGAAACACCAAGACCCUUCAUUGAGAAUCUGGUCCUUCACCUUUCGAUCCUUGAAUUGGAAUUUGAAGAUUCCUUCAUCCUCUUGCCGAAUUAGUACUCACUCGUUCAUUCCUCAAACGGUGGAUGUGGCUAUCACGAACGACGGAAUCACCACGUCCUUAUUAGACAUUUGGUGACCCCACAAAUAGAAGGAGUCGUGAAUGACAUCUUCUCCUCUAACAAGCCUCACCACGCUCUCUUCUAAUAUUACGGAGGCAUCCACCAUCACCACCGCCAUGUCGUUAUAUAGCUUGAUCAGUUGUUCGGCUAGAGAAACCCUAGCAGAGCAAAGUCGACUCUCCUCAGUAUCAAAAAAAAAAAAAACCUUGUACAUUAACAUGUCGUAAGGAAAUAUGACAUUGAGUUCCGAAAAGUCCUAUGAAUUAACAAAUUUUUCUCUACGACUCAACAUCAUAAACAACACAUAUAAUUAAGGACAAAUUACUGGUCACUCCGCUAACUUUAGGGUGCUCGACAGUUUAGUCCGUUAUCUUUCAAUUUCAAUCGAUCACUCCGCUAACUGUCCAAUUUCACACAAUUCGGCCCAUCCGUUAAGUAGCCGUCCAAAUCGAUGGUUAAGUGCUGACGUGGCACACCAAAAAUCAAUUAAUUAUUCAUUUUUCUCAUUUUCCAUUUCUCUCCCAAAUUUCCCAAUUAUCCCCCCAAAAAUUCCCCAAUCUCCCCCAAUCUCAUUUUUCAGCCAACACCAAAUUCCCAGUCAACAUAGUCCGACCCUUCUUCCCUUUUCUCCUUCUUCUUCCUCUCCACAUUUUCCCCUCUAUCCCUCAAACUCUCUCACUCAACCGCAGCAGAAGAGAAGAGCAGAGCAAUGGCUUUCAUCAAAGCCUCAAAGCCCCGCGCCUACUUCAAGCGUUUCCAGGUCAAAUACAAGCGCCACCGUGAGGGCAAGACCGACUACCGCGCCUUGGCAUUCUCUCGGCUCAACUUCACCGCCAGAGUCAAAUCCGUCUACCCAGGCCCGCCGGUUCAUCGAAAUCUUAAUCUCCGCCCGCUUGUAAAGCGCGUCGCCGCGCUCAGCGUCGAAGAGGCUCUUCUUGCAGAGCUGGGAGAGCGCGACGUCGAUGGCGUCGAGAGCGGAUGUUUUGAAGCCCUGGGCGUCGAGAGCGAGGGCUGUGAGGAUGUGAGCGGUAGCGUCUUUCGAAUCGAGAGCGAUGGCCUUGUCGGCGUGAGGGCUUGUUUGGAGAGAGAGGCGGCGGAGGAGGUGGAGGUGGAUUGGGCGGCGUAUCUGGCUUGGGCGAGGAGCUGGGCGCCGAGGACGAAGUGGCACUUGGAUUGGAUGGCGAUUUUGGAAUUAAAACCGUAGCAGCAGCAAUAGGAACCUAGCUACUAGCGUCGCCCAAGCCGUUGCCGUCUCUCUAGAUUGGACCUCCACUCCCAACGCUCACAAAGCCGCCGUCGCUUUCCUCGACUCCAUCUCUCUCUCUCUCNNNNNNNNNNNNNNNNNNNNNNNNNNNNNNNNNNNNNNNNNNNNNNNNNNNNNNNNNNNNNNNNNNNNNNNNNNNNNNNNNNNNNNNNNNNNNNNNNNNNNNNNNNNNNNNNNNNNNNNNNNNNNNNNNNNNNNNNNNNNNNNNNNNNNNNNNNNNNNNNNNNNNNNNNNNNNNNNNNNNNNNNNNNNNNNNNNNNNNNNNNNNNNNNNNNNNNNNNNNNNNNNNNNNNCUCGUCUCUCUCUCUCUCUCUCUCUCUCUCUCUCUCUCUCUCGGUGUACGACGACGCAAGGCUGAAGACGCAGCCUCCUACUGAGUCACCGAGACCGCGCUCGUCGUUGUGAUCCUCCUUAACGACGACAUCGAUUCCGGCGGCACCUCCCGGAGAUGAUCAUCAUCUGCCAGAACUUCCGCAACAAUCUCUAGAGCCCUAACGAGCACAUACGGGGCGUCAUGCUCCAAUUCCUCUACUGGUUGAGCAAGUCGGAGAUUGUCCGGUCGUUGAUUUCAUCGAUUCUGACCAAUCUAGUCAGAGAUCGAGGUCUGUGUUUAGUGCAAACAUGGAUAACGUUCUUCUUCUUCUUUUUUGAUCGGAGAUCUUGUUUUUGUUUUUGUCUUGGCCAGAGAGAUUGUGGUUUUUUUCCUUUUUUUUCAAUAUAAUGACUAUAAAUGAUAGUAUCUUGGUUAUUGGAGUAAUUAGUCUAUUAUUGGGAGGUAAUAAGUAUUUAGUGGAGGUCAAUAAACAUUUAUUGGGGGUAGUAAACUUCUAUCAACAUUUAUUGACCCCAAUAUUGCUUCUAUAAAUUUUCUUGAGAUGUAGGGAUUUGCCUUAGAGGUAAAAACUUCUUUUCUAACUUGAUUACUAAGAAUUAGUAACUGAUUAUUGGGGUCAGUAACCUAGUUAUUGGGAGUAAGUAACCGAGUUAUUGGUGACCGGAAUCUGGCGACCGGAAAAAAUUCGAGUUAUUGGGGGUCAGUAACUGAGUUACCGGUGAUCAGAAUCCUGCGACCGAAGAAAUUUCCGGCAACCGAUGACUAGAAUCCGGCGAUCAGCAAUCGGAGUCCGGUGAGGUUCUGGCCAAGUAUUCUCUCUCUUCCACUUUCUCUUUCUAUACAUGUUGAAAUGGUGAGAGUAAAAUUGUCUUAAAAAUAUAUAAAAAUUAAUUUUUAUUAUGACAUUAGUAAAGAUUUAUGUAUUUGGGCAUAAAAAAUAUUACGUUAUGGGCUUAUAUUGGAAUGAGCUCAUAAAAAAGAUGAUCAUUGAAAUAGAGAACGAGAGGUUUAAAUUAGUAUUAAAUAAGCAUUUUUUCUUUUGUCAGUACUGGGUGACAAGAGGAGAGCAAAGUAGAAGCCUCAAAUCCAGAACUCACUAAAUCGCGGCCGUAAUGGCGGAAGUUGAUGCUCAUAUCCAAGAAGAACACUUUGACGUUCUCACCAAAACCGGUCAGAAGACCGGCACUUCUAAGCCCAGGCAAACCUCUCUCUCUCUCUCCCUUCCUCUUCCUCUACUCAAACUCAUAUGUGAUCAUCGAUUGCGUUGAUAUUUUGAUUAAGCCAAGUAACUCCUAUCGGUCACUCAAGUGAACUUGGUUGAUUUUAGUGGAUUUUACCAUGCACAAUUGUUUCUACGAGUGUGAAUACAGUAAUUCUGAUUGAAAAUCUGUGUUUCUAUGGGUUUCUAUGCUCUUUUGUUGUUAUGUGAAUGUUGUUGCUGCUCAUGAUUUAGGGGAGCUGUGCAUCGAGACGGCGAUUACCACCGAGCUGUUCAUGUGUGGAUUUUCGCCGAGAGCACACAAGAGCUGCUUGUCCAAAAACGUGCCGACGAUAAGGAUUCCUGGGCUGGCUUGUGGGAUAUCUCCAGUGCUGGACAUAUAUCUGCUGGUGACUCUUCGCUCAUCUCUGCCCGGUAACUAGCUUUGUUGCCCUGCUUGUAUUGCUUUUGGUUCCAUUUCCUGUUUGUAAGCGGUUCAAAAAAGCAUUUACAGGUCCUGACCAAAUUAGUUUUAGUGUCGUUUCCAUAGCUCUAGCCUCCUUGGCCUUGCUUUUAUUCAGAAGUGUGAAUAUGUGACGCUGUGAAAGUAAACCAGCUACGCAACUAAGAUGAGUCUUUUGGCAGCCUUUUGCACAUGACAUUACUUAAGUCACCGUAUUCUAAAAUAAAAUACUUAGAGAUUUAGAGACAUGGAAAGUAAAUAAGCAUCAAGGAUUCAGUCUGUUCUUCAUCAUGAAAUCCUAGCAUUUUUGCACUGCUAUCCUGUCGGAAAAGUACUAGUCCAUAGUUCUCUUUACUUUUACUUUCCAAUUCAACCAUCACAUUAUCAGUUCCAUUAACACUCAUGCUGAUAUUAGGUUGUUGAACUUAUCAUAAGCUUUACUAUGAUAUAAGUAAUUAUAAUUUGGGGUAUCUUCAUUACAAGCUUAUAGAAGCCGAGGAGAGACGACAACAAUAUGCUUUACUGUUAUGAUCAAUAUUUGACUUUACAUAUAUAUCUCUGUAUCUUUAUUUAGAAAGUUGCUUGUGCGAGCAUAAAUUGUUAGUUGGAAGGUCCAAAUGCCUAAGCAUUGCUUUGGUUGUAUGGACCUUAUGCUGAGUGGAAUUAAAUUGAUCGACUCUAUUUAUUGGGACACCAAUUUUGGGAACCAGACUCAAAAUUAUAUGAAAUUAACAUCUUGUGGUAAAAUGCAAACAUUAUUGUGAUUGGUAGAAUUUUCAGCUGAUUGUCACUGAAACAUAGUAUGUUUGUUCUCAGGAGGGAGCUUGAAGAGGAGCUAGGUAUAAUACUUCCAAAAGAUGCAUUUGAAAUGAUAUUCGUAUUUCUUCAAGAGUGGUUAGUGGAUCAGUUCCUUUAUUAUCUGAUUGGAUACAUAUCUCUUCGCUAAUAUAUAUUUUUAUAAUGUUGUUUUUUUCCUUAAAUAGUUGUCAUUGCCUUUUGUUUUCUCGUUUUGUUAGUUUGGAGUCAGAUAUGCUUACCCUAAAGUUCUGAACUACUAAUGUUGUCAAGAGCUUGUUCUGGGUUACUUGCCUUUCUAAUAAACAUACAUAUUUUAGGAUUUUAUCAAUUGAGGGCAGGUGAGAAUUUGAUUUGGGUGGGAUAGGGAAUGUAGGAGGAUUAAGAAAACAAAAGAGUUUUAGAAGAUAGAGAAGUUUCAAGGCUGCAGAAGGGAACAUAGAACAAGAGAGGUUAGAGGAGAGAACUCAGGCACCAACCGUUUCACUAAAACUCAACUUUAAUUUAUUCCAAUCUGAUUUUGUGAUUACAAUAGGUCUAUAUUUACAAGCUUAAAAUAUAUCACUGUUCUGUUAGGAUUGGGUGUUCAAAGGGACAACAUUAAUUAUAUUUUUGAUGCCAUAGCUUUUGUGGAUACUUCAAAAGAGUCACUUCAUGCAAAUUUGGUAAAAUUAAAACGAGUGGGAAUAACAUGGAUACCAAAUUCACCAAAUAUAAAAUGAUGAUGGCUUUAGUUAAAAGUCAGGAGCAAAGGGGUCCUCAAAGAAAUAAUUCCUGUUAUUUAAUGAUCUAUAAUCUAAGAUAAGGAAGAAAUAGAAUUUGGAAAAGAUAGAGGGAAUAGACGCAAUCUAGUGGUAUCUUAUGCAAUUGAAGGGACCAAUUAGAUAAAGGAAGUCCAAAAACUCGUUAGGCAAAGAUGGAUCGAUAUGUAUGAAGUCUUUCUCCCACUAGUCAACAUUAUUCAAACAAUGUGUAGUACAUAAAAUGUAUAGAUCAAAAGGAAGUUUGCACACAAGCUCAUUUCCUCCCAAUAGAUGCAAUGCAUGCACCCUUGUAUUUGACUCUUUUUUCUACUUACCUUCCAAAAAGCAGUUCUUUACUUACAGUUUGUCUCUUCAAUGAAUUUUCGGGAAAAUCUCAACUAUUGGAGUCUACCUACCUUCCAAAAAGCAGUUCUUUAUAUUGAGAUACAUUUGUAGAUGUACUUGGUGGCCUUAUGUUUCGCUUCCCAGCUCCGCCCUUGCGUUUGACUAGAAAGUUCAGAUACAAAAUCCAAUCUAUCACAGCAUAACAUGAUGAGUGGAAUUGUUCAGGGAUAAGAUACCUGAAAGUUAGCUUCAAUGGUAUACAAGCUGCUAAAACGUCUGUAACUGAAGGAAGACAUGUUAAUAUAAGAGGGAAAGAAUGACUAAAAUAAACUGUAAUUGUAGACAUCAUGUGAUUCAUUUAUUCAUACACAAGAAUUCAUGUUCUUGAUCCCAUACAAUUAUGACCAAGGCAAGGAUGAUGAUUGUAAUCUGUUUACAUAUGGAUCUACUGUAUACUAAUGUUGGGCUUACAUUUUGAAUGCAGUGUAAUAAAUGAUGGAAAAUUCAUCAAUAAUGAAUUCAAUGAUGUGUACUUGGUUACAACUCUAGAUCCUAUCCCUCUUGAGGCAUUUACUCUUCAGGUAAGAACGAUGAUUUGUAUCAGAUAGAAGUUCUAAAGGUUUGGUAUUUUGAUCUUUCUUUGGUAUCAAAAAUUCAUGUGUUAUGUUUUGUUCCUUAUCUUUCUGCUGUUUUAUAUUACUUCGAUUUUUUCUAGGCAAAUCUGUCAGUUACAUUCCCCUCAAGGCAGGAAAAUGGCAUCUCAGCUAUACAAUCUGGGGAUGAAAAUUAAUAAAUUUGGAAGAUGAACUGGCUUUCAUUUCAACAAUAUGAGCGAACAAUUUUCAUUUUGAUAGGCUUGCUAUUGGCCUUUGCAGCCCUUGAAACUCUCCUGAGUACCUGAAAAAGGCAUCUUUUCUCUUUAAUGACAGGAAACAGAAGUCUCUGCUGUUAAAUAUAUAGCUUAUGAGGAGUAUAAAAGCUUACUAGCUAAAGAAGAUCCUGAUUACGUACCAUAUGAUGUAAAUGGGCAGUAUGGUCAGCUGUUUGACAUGAUUGCACAGAGGUAUCCUAUUAAAAUCCCUAGCAAGGAAGAACUAUUAUAAGAAGUUGUUUAUUAACUAGAUGUAAUAGUCCCCCUCAGCUUAUGUGUUCUUUUCAUGUCUUGUAGAUAUGAAAACUGUUUGAUCAUCGUAAUAAGUUUUCUAUCUGUGAUUUAGCUGGAAUGAAGAAAUUUAUGUCUAAAUGUUAUGAAGAGUAAUGAUAUACAUAUCCAUUUCUGGGAAUUUCAAGUUUUCUGGAUAUCCACUACUUGCUUAUGCAAGUUAUUUAUUUAUUUAAUCUUUUUGUUGUAGGUACAAGAAGAACAAUACAGCUCGAAGUUUGUCACUGCAAAAGCAACUCCAACGUUAUGCUCCUGUUACCCUCAAUGCAGAGGUCUCUUAUCUUUUUCUUUUAAACAUUUCUACGUUGAUAUUCUUUUUCUUUAUUGGCUGUUUAUUUUGUUCAUGAUUUAAUUAUAACUUUAUUCGAUACUUGGACAGUAUUGACUCAGUAAUCAUGUAGUGUAUUUUAGUCUUUCCCAACCUCAUCCCCUCCCCCCUUCUCCCUUUUGCAUUAGAUAUCUCUUCUCAUUUCAUUUCCCUUAAAAAUGAAGUUGGUUAAGUUCUAAAGUGAAGUCCUGCACAUUGAUUUUUUUUUUUUUUUGUGCAGCUGACAGGCCUCACAGAUGCAGAUAAGGAGGCUCUUGUUAUACUUGUAAAGGCUGCAACAAUUUUGGAUAAAAUAUUUCACCUGCAGGUUAAUAGACUCAUACAGAACUACAUGCAUGGAUAGAUAGUUAAACAAAUGCAUUGACUUGUGUAUUUAUAAUGCCAACUGGAAGAGCAUAUGUCUGUGCUUGCUGCUUUUGACAUUUGCUUGAUAUUACUAGUUUGCAUUUGCAUACAGAUAUGCUGGAAAAUAGUUUGCUGUAUGCAAUAAAUUGCUAAUUUGCUUUGCAAAUUAAGAGCCAAGAUGAAGCUAGCAAAAGUCUUGUAGUUUUGCAUAUUGUAAUCUGUCAUUUUUAUUUUAUUUUUGGAAACUGGGAAUUCUUACUUCGACAGGAAUUCUUACGUUUCUGAUUUUUCUUUUUCUUUCUAUCAUGCAAUCUUACAUCAGGUGUGGUACAGUAAUCCAGCUCUAAGAGAUUGGUUGAAGGAGCACGCAGAUGUAUCACAAAUGGACAAGUUGAAAUGGAUGUAUUAUUUAAUUAAUAAGAGUCCAUGGUAUGUCCUCUUCGUUCUCCUUCAAAUGUGUUCGUUUGUCAACUUCUAUAUAAUUGUAUAUUACAUGAAUAAGUAUCAUCUGCCAAGUGUCAUAUAUGUCUCUGAAUGUAUUUUGCGUAUAUAAGACACUGUCAAAUAAUUGUUCAAUUAACUUCUUGUCCAGAAUAUUUUGAAUACAUGUGCCUGCUAUAAUAAAAAUGGAUUNNNNNNNNNNNNNNNNNNNNAACCUCCUGAAAGUCAAAUGUAUCAAUGACGUUAAGCAUAGUAGCAUACAUAUCCUUUCUGAAGAAGCUUGCCACAAUAUCCUCAUAUAUGAAAGUAUCUGGGACUGAAACAUCUCAGACCUGAUGUUUUAACUUCUGGGCUCUGACUUGAUUAAAUUUUUGUAGCAAGUGUGUAUCUUUUUGUUUUGGGCUCUAAAUAGUUGGGCAUGUCCAUCUUUUGUAUAUCUUUGUAUAAAAUUCUCGUUGUCAUAAAUAACUUGUCAUGCAUUUGCUAUCAACAGGUCAGACCUUGAUGAAAACGAGGCAUUUUUGACAACUGCAGACUCAGCUGUGAAGUUGCUUCCUGAAGCAACAAAACCUGUUACUGGGUGGAAGGGACUUGAAUAUAGAGCUGCAUUUCCUAUGCUAAAACCACCUGGGGCAAACUUCUAUCCUCCAGAUAUGGACAAAACGGUAUAUAAAUUUGAAGUUCCUCUACUAUUCAAAUUAAAUAUUUUACAUCUAAAAGUACCCAUCAUUUGUUUUUGUAUAGGAAUUUGAAAUGUGGAAGAGUAGUCUAACAGUAGACCAACAAGAAGAUGCAACAGGCUUUUUCAAUGUUAUUAAAAGACACAGUGAAUCUAGUCUAGGUUCCACUGUAAAUUGUAACACAGGAGGAAGCAAAGAUCAUUCUGUGGGUUUGAUACCUGACUUGUACACUGUCCCUUUCUCCCAAGAGUACAAUACUUUCCUCACACGAGCAGCUGAAUUAUUGCAUAAAGCGGGUGACUUAGCCAGUUCACCAAGGUAUGUAGUUUUUUUUUUCUUUUUCUUUUUUCAUUAUUAGUGAUGUAACAAAUGUUAACUAGUUUUUGCAUGGCUGACGAAAAGCACAAUGAAUAAGGUGCUUGAU